rnacentral:lncRNA from 1 species
AAUCCAUUCUCCAUCGGUUUUUCGCUUUACUUCCAACCCUCCGACAUCAUCCUGAGCAAGGAUGGUUAAGGCUCCGCCAUCCUUGUGGCGACCAACGCCCAGAGCUAGGUGAGGGAUGGGGCAAGGUGGGUAGUGUUUGAGGCGGAUGAAGUUCGUUGAUUCUUCAAAGAAAAGAUUGAAUCUGUUUUCCGGCAAACCUAAACUCAACGAGAUGAGUCCCAAUAGCUUGAAAGCUAAUUUUUCCAUUUCUCUAGCAUACUCUUCACAUACCUCCCUAUAUAAAUCAGUUCAAUUAGAACAAAAAAGAUAAGUAAUUCACUGUAGUUAUUGUGCCUUAGCUGGUGAAAUUUGUACCUUAAUUCAGGAGGGUACUGAGGCCACUGAUUGGUCAGCUCUUUGAGCUCCUUGUCGUCAGGAUCAGGCGAAACAGGGAUCACGGUGGGGGUUGACACCACGAAAUCAAAGACUUCCUUCCAGUCCCUAACGUUCUUGGUAAGCUCCGAAUCAAAAUACCCCAAAGGAUUCACCUCAUCUCUACUCACCUUCCUCUUCUCCUCCAAUGGCAGAGCGAAGAAUUUCCUCGCCGCACCCUCAAUUUUCCGGCGAGACUCCGAGGGCACCCCAUGGUUGAUGACUUGAAAGAAGCCCCAAUUCUUGGAUGCGUCAGCUAUUUGAGAAACAUGGUUGGAAGCAUUGGCGGAAGAGAGAUCAAUGAGGGGGAUGCCUUCAGCUUCGAUAACAGCGAGCUUAGGCCUAUGUUGGGUGUCUUGGAUGAAGGCUGGAUCGACCUCUCCCAUGGCUGUGGUAGUGGUUGGAAGUUAGAAAUGGGGGUUAAGCACUGGUGGCAGCAGGUGUAGAUGGUGACGGGAAAUUGGGCCACACGGCAGGUGGUUUUUGUAGUGUGGUGGGGUUGGUUUAGUACAUUGAACCUGGGCAUAAUUUGGGUUACUUUUUAAGGUUUGGUUGAGGGUGUGACCUCAUGGAUUGCGCAUAUAUUAAUGAUAAUUGGUCAAGUGAUACUGCAGUCCCAAAGGGAAUCUCUCUCAAUGAUUUUGCCGACAGCUCCCUCCACAUUAAAAUGUUUCAUCCGUAUUUGAAUUGGAGUCUAAUGCUCUGAUCAAAGAUACCUUUCGCUUAGUCGAUCAGUGUUUGAUUACUAAAUAAGAUGGUGUCACAAAUAUUUUUGAAUUCUAGGUCAAAGUUAACGAGUGCAAAGGUUAUCAAUUUGAUAAGAUAAAUUGUUUAGAAACACUUUUAAAAAUGAUUCUUGAAAAAAUAUUUUUUUAAGUUUAAAAACCAUUUUUAAAUUUAGAAUAAAGGUUUAUUUAAAAACUUAUAUUAUUAUAAACUUAUUUUUUAUAUUUUUAAAAAAUAAUUUUUAUAUAUAAUAUUUUAUUUUCAAUCAUUUUUUACAUUUUUUUUAAAAAGGUAAAACUACUAAAAAAAAUACUUAAAAUAAGUUAUCAACAAAUGUCUUAUUGUCAUGACAAUUUUCAAAAACAUGUUUUAGAAACAAUUGAAAAUCAAAGUAUUUUCAUAUUCCUUUAUUCCCAAAAACAAAAAAUUAUUCUUGGUAACGGUUCCAAAUGUAUCCUUCAUUUGUUUAUCUUAUUAUAUAAGUUUUAAAAUAAAAUACAAAAAAUAAUUUUCAAUGAUAAUUUGUUACGGUUUUAUCCAAAAUUUUUAUAUUUUUAAUCAAUUAAUUUAUUGAUACGUAUAUUUCUCAUGAGACCUUUUUCUCACUAAAAACAUUACUUUUUUAUAAGACAUUUUUAAUAAAUUAAUUUUGAUACGUAGAUUAAAAAUGUCUUAUAACAAUAUAAAUUAAUUAAAUCAUUAGUUGGCCAUUUGGUCUCAUGCUUACACAACGACUUCUCUCAUGGCUGCCUAACAUGAAUGAACAACUCUCUACAACAAGUAAGGUACACUUAAUUAAAAAAUUAUUUAAUUUAAAGAUGUUCGAGAAUGAGAAUUUCAAGUAGCACUUGAAUGAAUUUAAUGAGACCACAAAUUAAUUAAAUUCGAUGGUUAUUAAAUUUGAUGAUAAGAUUCAAGCCUUAUUAAUCCUCGGUUAAUUGCUUGAGAGUUGGAAAGACACAAUCACCUCAAUCAAUAGUUCAUCCAAAAAAUCAAAAUUGGUGUUUUCGAAUGUAGUAGACAUGAUUAUAACCGAGGAGAUCAAGAAGCAUGAAGAAGGUUUUUCAAAUUCAUGAUCAACAUUAAAUAUGGAGAGCAAAGCUAGAAAUCAUAAUAAAGGUAAUAGGCGUGAUAAAUCCAAAUCGAGGAAUGAUAGGUUGAAAUACAAAAAUUCCAUAAAUUCCUAACAUCAGACGAGUAAGAACAAUAUCAAAUGUUGGAAUUGUGAUUGGAGCUAAAAUAUGUGCUCAAAUGACAUAUAUUUGAUAUGAUUUAUAUAUCAUAAGACACUCAAAUCAUCUGACUCUACCCAAAUUGAUACUAAGGUCCUAGCCAUGAGUUUAACUUGUAUUUUGGAGAUUUAUCUCAGGUUUAAGAAAAGAAAAUGGUGUAAGGUGAAUCAAUUUAGAUUUUGAAAGAAUAAGAAGGGGUUAAAUGAGAAAAUGAACAAGUCAAGACUCAUGAAAUAUGAAGAAAGGAAAGACGAGGAUAUCGUGAGUUUGGGAGAUGAGGAAUGACCAUUAUCAUGAAGUAAGAAAUAAGGCAUACAAACAUAGAAAAUGAGGCAUGAAACAAAAUUCAUCAAGUUUGCAUGGAAAUUUGGGACUCAAAAUCUGGUAAUAACAUAUACUCUGACUUUAAAAUGAAAUUUGGAGCAUUUCCCAAAGUCCAUUUUAGGCAAGCUAUAUAUUGUUUUGAAGCAUGGGAAGUUAGGAAUUCAAAGCUUCAAACAAUGUCCAAAUUAGAGCUAAAUAAGGAAGUUAUGCACAUUUAAAGCAAACUAGUUAGAGAGAAAAACUGAGUUCGAAAUUGGUCACUUGGAUUUGAAAUGGUUUUUGUCCAUUUAAAACUCAAAGAAAUGAAAGAAAACUUUUGGCAUUGGCUAAGUUUGAAUCUCUUUACCUAUUUCAAACAAGAGGCAUACAUUUCAAAGUCAAAUGAACAUACAUGGGCAGUGAGUGAGUUCAAAAUUCACUAUGAAUUUUGAACUCACCUUGUUGAUUUCAAAUUGGACCAUUUAUUUCCCACUUAUGAGUUCAAAAUUGAUUUGAACUCACCCAAAUUUCGAACUCAACCAUUAGUGACCGAUUUUAGGCUCUGAGACAUGUCAAAACGAGUUUCAAAUGCCUUUAUCCAAUUCAAAACGCAUCAUACUCAUUUAGAACUCGUAAUUUUUGGGGUUUUUUUUAAAGGUUAUUUAUGACUUUUCGUUACAAUAAGUGGCCAAUGAGAGUGUACCACAUGUUAGGUCAUUGAAGUUACUAUAAAAACUCUUUUAGUUAUAGUGUUUAGGUGAUCUUCCAAGAGUUAGACAUUUCGUGGGGAAGAAUACGAGAACUUUUGGUUUAUUUAUUUUCUUCUUUAUUGAAUGUAUUGUUUUUAGUUUCCUUUAUUUCAAAUUAUGAAUUUUUACUUUAUUAUGGAUUGUGAAUGUGACAUUACCCCCAUGAGAGGAUAAAAAGCUAACUUGGGGCUUAAACAUAAAAACUAACGGUUAGAAAACUUAUAGGGACAUUAGGUAAAUUAUUAUAACAAUAAGAUUAAUUAAUGGUUGAGUUACAAUUUAUUAAUUUUUUAUCCUAUCAUUGUGAGUUAGUUUAGAGAAUAAUAUAGUAGGUGAUUAUUCGAUACUAGUGAUUCUUGGUAACUCUUGAUCAUUAGUAAUCCUGAUUUUUCUUAUAGUUAUCUGCCCCAAAACGAAGUUAGAAGGAGUAGGAAAUGUUAAAAAGCCAAACCUUAAAUUGAUAAUAAUUUCAUUCAUUUGAUGUGUUGACAAAUCAGAGGGUUGGCUGCAUCCAUCAACUCUCUUUGUGUUCGCCGUGAGCACUUGGGUGAAUGCACUAUAAGGUUAGAGUAUGCACAUUUCUUAACAGCAAUUGCUUUUAGGAGAAUUGGUAGUGCCUGAGGUCCUACAUGAUAGUUUUAAGAACUUGUUUUAAAAAGAAAAAUUAAGUUUUAGAUGUACUUUUGAGUUAUAGGGCUCAAGUUGAUUGCAAGCGGCCAAGAAUCCCAAAACCCUAAGAUCACUCUAGUUAAGAAACCUUUGUUAUCUCUAUUUCUAUACCUUAAGUUAUAUUGUGGAAAACCUCAAACUUAAAUCAAUUAAAUUAAAAAUCAAUAUUCGUUUUGUUAUUAAUUUAGUUUUUUUUUUUUUUUACUUAGUUUCACUUCAUAAAAGUUAAUUCACAUAUUGUUUUUCGCUUUAGGAUUUAAAUAAAAACAAUUCAUUUAUCCUAGUAUUGAAAAAUUCCAUAUGUUAGUCCCUAAGGAUGAUACCCAAAGAAUUACAAAAACCAUAGUGACUAUUUCUCUAGUUUUUUCUUAACCAAAGUUACUAUGUAAAAAGGCUUAGUAUUUUACAUAAGAGAGAAGAUUGAUCAAAUUGUGGAAAGAAGAGACAUUAUAAAAAUGAGUGUAAGGCUGCCAAGAAGGAUAAGGAUGGUGACAACAAGACCAAUGCAAAUGUUGUGUCAAAAGAAUUAGAUGAUGCUCUUAUCUGCUAUUUAGAGAGAACAACAUAAUCGUGGGUAUUAGAUUCAGGGGCAUCGUUCCAUGCUACCUCAAGUGGAGAAUUAUUUGAGAAUUAUGUCUCAGGUAAUCUAGGGAAGAAGUAUCUAGGUGAUGACCAAGCAUGUGUUGUUAUUGGCAUAAGUGAAGUGCAUAUCAAAUAUUUGAAUGGAUUUGUAUGGAAUUUGGACAAUGUGAGGCACAUUUCAAACCUGAGAGAUAAUUUUAUUUCCAUUGGGUAGUUAACAAAAGAUAGUUAUGUGACAACUUUUUUAGGUGACACAUGGAAUAUCUCAAAGGGAGCUAUUUGCCAUGGCAAGAAGAAUGAUACUCUUUACAUGACAAUGAAUGGUUGUGGGUUUAUUACAAUUGUUGAGAGCAAAGAAGAUUCGAAUUUAUGGCAUUAAAGGCUUGGUCACAUGAGCAAUGAGGGGUUGGAAAUUAUACACUCAAAUGGGAAGUUGUCAAGUUUGAAAUAAGUUGACAUUGACAUGUGUGAAAAUUGCAUACUUGGGAAACAAAGAAGGGUUAGCUUUAAGAAAGUUGGAAAAACUCCAAAAGAAGUAAAACUGAAGUUAGUUUAUACAAAUGUUUGGGGACUUGCUUCAAUUUCAUCUAUCGGUAGAAGAUUUUUUUUUGUGACCUUCAUUGAUGAUCAUUUGAGGAAAGUGUGGGUAUACUUUAUGAUACACAAAUGAGAAGUGUUUGAUGUAUUCAAGAGACGGAAAACAAUGGUGGAGAAUAAGACAUGUAUGAGAGUCAAGAAGUUACGGUUUGAUAAUGGUAGGGAGGAUGAAGAAUUUGAGUUCAAGAAGAUCUAUUAUGAAAAUGGAAUUAAAUUAGAGAAGACCGUGCCAAGGACACCUUACCAGAAUGGUAUAGCAUAAUGAAUGAACAAGACAUUGACUGAAAGAGAAAAAAAACGUGUAUACAAGCAAGGUUGUCAAAGGAGUUCUUGGCAAAAGCAAUCAACAAAACAACUUACUUGAUCACAAAAUACUGGAAAAAGUGUGAACUAAAAAAAAGGUAAAGUUUUCUCAUUUGAGGGUAUUUGGUUGUGUAUCAUAUAUAUAUAUAUAUAUGUGUGUGUGUGUGUGUGUGUGUGUGUGUGUGUGUGUGUGUGUGUGUGUAUACAUAUUAGUGAUCAUGACAUAAACAUACUUGAUGCUAAAUCACUAAAAUGUACUUUCUUAGCUAUGGUGUUGAUAAUUUUGGUUAUUAGUUUUGGGAUGACCAGAGUAAGAAAGUGAUUAGAAGUAAGGAUGUCGAUUAGAAGUAAGGAUGUCAUAUUUAAUGAGAAAGUUUUGUAUAUGUAGAGAGAUGCAACACAUUCCAAUAGUCUGGUACAACUUGAACCUAUUUACUUUGAGCCAAAUGAUGUCCCAUUGAAUAACAUGACAAAUAAGACAGGUCAUAAUCAUUAGAUUGAGGAAAAUACUGCAUAAGAUGUUAAUAUAUCACAAGAUCUAGUUUCAAUUCCUACUUUGAGGAGAUCUAACAAGCCACAUGUACCAAAUAGGAAGUAUUUAAAUUAUUUGCUACUAAUAGAUGGAGGUGAACCUAAAUGUUAUGAUGAGGCAUGUCAGAUGGAAGAUAAUAGAAAGUGGGAGCUUACGAUGAAAAAUGAAAUGAAGUCCCUUAUUCUUAACCAGACUUGGAAGCUAGUCGAGUUACCAAUGGGUAAGAAAGUUUUUCAUAAUAAGUGGGUGUAUUAAAUUAAGUAGGAGCAUGGUGGUUCUAAGAGAUAUAAGGCUAGAUUGGUGGUCAAAGGGUUUCAAUAGAAGAAAAAUGAUUGACUAUACAUACAUUUUCUCUCUAGUUGUGAAACUAACUAUUAUUCAAUAUGUUUUGAGUAUUGUAGCAAUAAAGAGUUUACAUAUAGAACGGUUAGAUGUGAAGAUAGCUUUCCUCUAUGGUGAUUUUGAUGGGGAAAUUAGUAUAUAUGCAACAACUAGAGGGUUUUGUAGUGAAGGGUAAAGAGAAUCUGGUGUGCAAAUUAACUAACAGUCUGUAUGAUUUAAAACAAGCCCCAAGACAAUGGUAUAGAAUAUUUGGUAGUUUCAUGCAAAAGAAUAGGCAUCUCAAGUGCAAUGCAGACCAUUGUUGUUACUUUAAGAGAGUUGGUUCUAUCUAUAUUAUUUUGUUACUUUAUGUUGAUGGCAUGUUAGUAGUUGACGCAAAUCUAGAUGAAAUUAACAAGUUGAAGAAAUAGUUGUCUAGUGAAUUUGAAAUGAAGGACUUGGGAGCAACAAAGUAGGUACUUGGGAUGAAGAUUAGCAAAGACAAAUAAACGAGCAUCUUAUGGUUAUCUUAGGCUAAGUAUAUAUACUCAUAAAGUAUUGCAAAUAUUCGACAUGAGUAAUGUAAGGCAAUUAGAACAUCAUUAGCAAAUCAUUUCAGGUUGUCUAAUUAAGCAUUGCCCAUGGGCAGAUGAGGAAAAAGACUUCAUGGCUAAGGUUUCAUAUGCCUUAGCCAUUGGAAGUUUGAUGUAUGUUAUGAUAUGCACGACACUAGACAUUGCCUAUGCAGUGGAAGUUGUGAGCAAAUUUAUGUCAAAUCUAAGUAAGUAGCAUUAUGAAGUAGUGAAAUGGAUGCUUAGGUACUUACAGGGUACUACAAAAAAAUGUCUAUGUUUCGAAAGGGGUGAGUUAAAAUUGCAAGGAUAUGUGGAUGUUGAUUUUGCCAAUGAGAUAGAUAAUUGGAAAAGUACUACAUGGUAUGUGCUCACUUUGGGUACUAUUGCUAUUAGUUUGAUUUCUCAAUUGUAGAAGAUUGUUAUUUUAUCUACAAUUGAAGUAAAAUAUGUGGCUAUCACAGAAGCUAGAAAAGAAAUGAUUUGGCUAUAGAGUUUGUUAGCAAAGUUAGGAUUCAAAUAAGAUAUGAAUGUUUUGCAUAGUAAUGGCCAAAGUGCAAUACAUUUGGCUAAGUAUUCAACAUUUCAUUCAAGAACUAAUUAUAUUACACUUCAUUAUCACUCCAUCAGGUUUUUGCUUGAAGAUAGGGUGUUAACAUUUGUGAAGAUACAAGGUAGCAAGAAUCCGGUUAACAUGUUAACUAAAAUAGUGAUAAUAGAAAAAUUGGAGUUGUGUGCAACUUCAAUUGGUCAAUAAUGAGAAUAGGUUGUUUGAGUGCACCCUCAUACCCAUUAAUCAUUGAAAGAGAAUGUUUACUUGUGUUUUAGUCUUCAAGUGGAAGAUUGUUGGAUUGUGAAGCUUGAAUCAGUUUUAUUAUGCCCCGAUCAACUUGUAGGGAUUGAAGGGCGCAAUGCUCUAUGGAGAAUUUAUUUAUUUAUUUUUAUGUAAUGAUUGACAGGUUUAAUCUUAUUAUAUAUUUUAACCCUUUUAUGUUUUAAGGUUUUGUUUUUUAAUGUGUAGUUGCAAUUGAGAGGUUUUUUGAGAGCUUUGCUAUUCCACUCCUUCUCAUCCCUUUUAUAGUGAAUUGUUGUAUGUUGGUGUACUCCAUUGAUGUAGGGAUCAAAUUGAUCGUAAAACCAUUUUUUUUUUUUUUUUGUUUCUAUUUAUACAUGAGUGUGUGCGUGAUUUGGUUAACAUCAGUUAUCUUAAUAAUUCUAUUCCUGGAAUAGGAAGAAAAUGAUGAUUCCAUUAAUGUAGCAUGCAUUGCUGCUUAUUUAUCAAGCAAAUUACAUUAUUAUUACACCAAACCUCCAAAUUCACCACGUACGUAUCGUAUAUACCGCAUGAUAAGAUUUAGAGAGGUAAAACAAGCGCUUAUUGUUUACGGAUAGAUAAUGUCCCACCGACCUUUUACUCUGAUACCUUGAAAUGAGAAAUUUGGAGGUUUUCCACACCAAGCUUCUUGAGAUUACCGCGCUUUCUCGUAGCGAAGAACUUUCCCCAGUUGUAUGCUCUAUACUUUGGUUUUUCCCCCUUCGUCAGCUCCUCCAAGGGCUGCACCCAAAGAUGGUGCGCGGGAUUGAAAAAGAACGGAAUCGAGAACCUUUCCCUCUCUGAAUUCAGUAUCACUCUGUGCUCCACACUCUCAUAAGUUUCGUUGCUCCAAACCUGGUUUAAUAUCAGUAUAAUUAGCCAAAUAGGUGCAAAAUUCGGUGAGCGAAAUAACUGAUAAGCAGGUGCUUAUAAUUCAAAGUUCUUGGGUGGUACCUGAAUUAUAUCCCCAACAUUGAUGAUUUAAGCAUCUGGGGUGGGCUUCACUCGAACCCAUUCUCCGUCGGUUUUUCGCUUUACUUCCAACCCUCCGACAUCAUCCUGGGCAAGGAUGGUUAAGGCUCCGGCAUCCUUGUGGUGACCAACGCCCAGAGCUAGGUGAGGGACAGGGCAAGGUGGGUAGUGAUUGAAGCGGACGAAGCUCGUUGAUUCUUCAAAGAAAAGAUUGAAUCUGUUUUCUGGCAAACCUAAGCUCAGAGAGAUGAGUCCCAUCAGCUUGAAAGCUAGUUUUUCCGUUUCUCUCGCAUAUUCUUCACAGACCUCCCUGUAUAAAUCAGUUCAAUUAGAACAAAACAAACUAAGUAAUUUACUGUAGUGACUGUGCCUUAGCUGGUGAAAUUUGUACCUUAAUUCAGGAGGGUACUGAGGCCACCGAUUGGUCAGCUCUAUGAGCUCCUUGUCCUCAGGAUCAUCCGAAGCAGGGCCGAAGGCGGGGGUUCUCACCACGAAAUCAAAGACUUCUUUCCAGUCCCUAACGUUCUUGGUAUGCUCAGUAUCAAAGUACCCAAAAGGAUUCACCUCAUCUCUACUCACCUUCCUCUUCUCCUCCACUGGCAGAGCGAAGAACGUCCUCGCGGCAUCCCAAAUUUUCCGGCGAGACUCCAAGGGCACCCCAUGGUUGAUGACUUGAAAAAAGCCCCAGUUCUUGCAUGCAUCAGCUAUUUGAGAAACAUGAUUGGAAGCAUUGGCGGAAGAGAGAUCAAUGAGGGGGAUGCCUUCAGCUUCGAUAACAGCGAGCUUAGGCCUAUGUUGGGCGUCUUGGAUGAAGGCUGGAUUGACCUCUCCCAUGGCUGUGGUAGUGAUUAGAACUUAGAAAUGGCAAUUAUGCUCUGGUAGCUGCAGGUGAAGAUGGUUACAGGACUUGGGCAACUCGGCAGGUGGUUUUUAUAGCAUAAUAGGGGUGUUGGUUUAAUACCUUGAACCUGGACAUAAUAUGGGUUACGUGUUAAGUUUUAGUUCGGGGUGUGAGCUCAUGGGUUGCGCAUAUGUUAAUGAGAUUUGGUCAAGUGAUACCUAGCUAUUUCCACGGCACCCUCAAUAUUCAAAUAUUUCAUCCGUACUCGAUUUGGAAGGUUGAUUAGUAAAUCUGAUGGUGUAAUGUCUAUUUUUGAAUUCAAUGCUAUAUAUUUAACGGUGAAGAUAAGAAAAAUAGAAGAGUUGAUAACGUUGAAGAAAAAAUGCCAAAGUUUUAAGAAGGUAGAGUUUUGAUGAGAAAUAGGUAAAAUUAAAAUUGCAUUAUAAUAAUAUAAAUUAAUUAAAUCGGUAAUCACCCAUUUAAUCUCAUUCUUAUCCACAAUUGUUGAUAGUUGAUCCUACAAAAUUCUAAAAAAAUCUUCCACAAAGACAAAUCACAAGAUGUUCAAUAACAUAUAUGCUUUUGCACCAAAAAUUGUAUAAGGGAAAAAAAAAUGAUGCACAAAAAAAAAAAAAAAAAAAUUCUAUAUCUAAUAUUAUUUCAUAGGAAAACUAACUAUAAUAAAUUUUAAAAGCAAAGAGCGUUUUACCAUAUCUAAAUAAUAGAUUAUUAAAUUCUUUAUUUUUCAAUUGGAUAUUUUUUUUUAAAUUAGAAACAUCUAUAUAAAAAUAAAAAUCACUUUAAAAAAAUUUUAAAUUUAAGAUAAUAAAUUUUUUAUAAUAUUUUAAUUCUUUUAAAUAAUUUUUAAAAUUAUUAUUUUUUCAAUAUAAAAUUUUAAGAGUUUUUGUAUUUUAUAUAUAAGUUACUAAUAUUCUCUUAUUUUAAACAUAGAAAAUAAAAAAUGUAACCAAAUGAAUUAGAAAAUAAAAAAGUUGAAUAAAAAUAGUCUAACCAUCUUAAACCUAAUAAUGUUUGACAGAAAACACUUAAAUAUACCUUGUAAUUUUCCUCACUGGUCAGCUCCUCCGAAGGCUUCACAUUCACAUGGUGCGCCAGUAAGAAGAAGAAUGGAAUCGAAACCCUUUCCUUCUUGUGUCGACCCACACUGAGAGCGAGCUCCAGCCACGAGCACGAUGGAUGGUGAUUGAGUCGGAUGAAGCAUUAGCCUUCAAAGAAUUCAUUCAACCGAUCCCCCACCAAGCCUAAGCUUAAGGAGAUGAGUUCCAAGAACUUGUAAGCUAAUUUUUCUAUUUCUCUAAUAUAGUUUUUCCAAAUUUUCCUGAAAAUAAAUCAUUAUAUAAAAUAUAUCAAUACUCAAAAUAAAUUUAAUAAAAUCUUGUCUUGCCUUUAUGUCUCUAGUUGAGUCUGUUUGGCUUCAAGCUGUGCAUUUAUGUCUCCGGUUGAGUUUGUUAGGCUUUGAGUCGCACCUUUACACCUCUAGUUGAAUAUGUUCGACUUUGAGCCAUGCCUUUACGUUUUGAGUUGAGUCUAUUCGGCUUUGAGCCACGCCUUUACAUUUUAGUUGAAUCUGUUCGAUUUCAAGCCGUGCAUUUACAUCUAUAAUUGAGUCUAUUCAGCUUCAAAUUGCAUCUUCACAUUUUUUGUUGAAUCUGUUCAGCUUCAAGCCACUCCUUUAUGUCUCUAAUUAAAUUUGUUUGGCUUUAAGUUUCACCUUUAUGCCUUUAAUUGAGUUUGUUCGGCUUUUAGUUGCGCUUUUACGUUUUGAGUUGAGACUAUUUGGCAUCGAGUUGCAACUUUAUGUUUCAAGUUGAAUUUGUUUAGCUUCAAAUCGUGCCUUUACAUCUCUAGUUGAGUUUGUUCGACUUCAAGUCAUGCCUUUAAGUCUCUAGUUGAGUUUUUUUAGCUUUGAGCUGCGCCUCUACAUCUCUAGUUGAAUUUGUUUGGCUUCGUAUCACAUCUUAUGUUUCGAAUUGAGUUUAUUCGACUUCGAGUUGUGCCUUUAUGUUUCUAGUUGAGUCUAUUCAGCUUCAAGCUGCACCUUUACUUUUUGAAUUGAGUUUGUUCGGCUAUGAGCAAUGCUUUUACAUUUCAAGUUAAGUCUGUUUGGCUUUGAGUUAAGCCUUUACGUCUCUAGUUAAGUCUAUUCAACUUCGAGCCGCAUCUUUCAUUUUUGAGUUGAGUGUGUUUGGCUUUGAACCACACCUCUAUGUUUCAAAUUAAGUCUAUUCAUCUUCAAGUCGCACUUUUAUGUCUUUAGUUAAGUUUGUUCAGCUUCGAGCAAUGCCUUUAGGUUUGAAGUUGAGCCUAUUUGACUUCAAGCCACACCUUUACAUCUCUAGUAGAGUUUGUUUGGCUUCAAGCUAUGCCUUUUUGUUUCGAGUUUAGUCUGUUCAGUUUUGAGCCAUGCCCUUACGUUUCAAGUUAAGCCUAUCCGGCUUCAAGUCGCGUCUUUACAUUUUGAGUUAAGACUAUUCGACUUCAAGCUAUGUCUUUACAUCUUUAGUUGAGUUUGUUCAACUUCAAGCUACGCCUUUACGUUUUGAGUUAAGUCUAUUCGGUUUCAAGUUGUGUCUUUAUGUUUUGAGUUGAGUCUGUUUGGCUUUAAGUCACACUUUUACGUUUUGAGUUGAGUCUCUUCAACUUUGAACUACACCUUUAUAUAUCCAGUUGAGUCUGUUCGAAUUUGAGUCACACCUUUGAGUUUUGAGUUUAGUCUGUUCGGCUUUGAGCCACACUUUUACAUCUCUUGUUGAGUCAUAUUUAGCUUCAUUCUACGCCUUUACAUUUCCAAUUGAGUUUAUUUAGCUUUGAGUUGUGCCUAUGUUUUAAAGUUUGUUCAAUUUCGAGCCACAUCUUUAGCCUUAUUAAGUUUGUUCAAGUUUAGUUGUGCCCUCACCCAUAUCCUUAGUUUUAAGUUUAUUCAGCUUCAAGCCAUGCGUUUGUCCUUGUUAAGUAAGUUCGGCUUCGAGCCACGUCUUAGUUUUGAAGUUGUUUAUCCUUGAGCCACACCUUCCUUUCUUUUUUAGUUCACUUAGGGUUUUCUCCUUCCUCGAGUUUAUUAGUGCAUUCGAGUUCAUUUUUCUUUAAGUUGAUCACUCUUUAUCUUUGUUGUCCUUGAAUUGUUCAUUGUGUCACAAUUCAGUGUUUUUCAUUGCAUAUAUACUCCCCACAUUGUCUAUAUUUUAUCCUGAUGAGUUUCUUUCCCAAUACGUGACCUCGAUCUUUGAGUUUAGCAUGCCAUGUGCUAAGACAAUUUCGAGUGCUCUUUUGUUCUUCAAUGCAAUUCACUUCAUACCAUUCAUCACUCAUGUUUCACUGUUUGUGUUCAUUUCAUUCGUGAUCUACAUCGGAGAGAGACAUAUUUGUUGGCCCUUUACUUUGUCCUAUAAUACAUAUUUUCACAUUUUUUUAUUUUCCUCUUGCCCCAUACUCAUUUUUGGUGCUCGUUUUGGAUCCUUCUUGUUUGAUCAUUCAUGGUCCCUUAUUGGUCCACGUUUACUUGACUCAUUAUUCAUUUUUUAGUCGCAUUUUAGAGGCCAUGUAGGAGGAAUUUUGAGUACAUGCAAGCUUAUUUUUUAGAGACCCUUAGUAGUUGGCUCAUAUGAGGACACGCCUCCUCACACUACUACAAAAAUCAUUUAUGGUGUCACUAUUUAUAGUGACACUUUUAAAAUAAUGACACCAUAUAGCUUAAAAUCCACAAAGGUGACACAUCAUAUAAAAAUUUUCAAUUAGGAUCAAUGAUAUUAAUUUUAGGUUUAUAAUGUCAGUUGCCAAAAAAUGACACCAUAUAAAAUAUUUUUUUUCUAAAUAUUAUAACUCAAUUGGCCCACUUUGAGAAUAAUGAUAGUAUAUAAAAAAAUCAUUGUUUCCACAUACCCACAAUCCAAAAAAAUUUCAUUCCAUAACCCUAACCAAAAUUUUUUUCUACCUCUUCUCACACCCAUAGUUAACACACAACUGUUCUUCUCUGCUUUGUGGACUCUCAGGUAACCCAAAAUCUCUUAGAUCUAUCAUUUUCAUUUAUUUUUUUAUUAAUGUCAAAAUCUUUAUGAACACAAUUGAUUUAUGUUUAUUGAUUUAAUAUAUUUGUAAUAUGGAUUGUGUAAAUAGUGUUUUUUUAUUGAGUUGUAGGAAAGUAAAAACUAGGUUUAACAUUCCACCAUAUCUUCUGGUUCAUUGUUAAACCCAUAAACCCCAAAAUGAAUGAAAAUAAGAAAAAUGAAUUAUUUUUAAAUAUCUUUUAUACUCAAGAUAAUAUAUAAACAUUUUACAAUACAAAAUUUUUUUUUGAUCUUGUAGGAAAUUUCCUUUGAUAGGAUUUUCUGUUUGUUUUCAAGGAAUAUUGUAGUAUAUUGUGAUGAAGAUAUUGAUUGGUGUUAUUUGAAAAAUAAUUUUUUAGAAAAUUAUUCUCAAUAUUAUCAUCUCCCACAAAAUGAAAAAUGAAAUAGUUUUCAUAUCAUAUUGGAGUCGGUUUGGAAUGUUGGAAUUAACAAUGAGAAAUUAAUUUUAUUUUUUAUUUAUUAAUGUAAAUGAAUUGUUUUUUUUUUAAAUUUAAAUAGGAAUGAAAAUUUUUAUAAUUAUAAAAAUGAUCAAAUAUUAUAUUUUGAUUUUUUUUUCUAUUCUUUUACAUGGUAUUAUGGUUAAUAUCUCAUCUUGUUCUAUAUAUAUUUUUUAUAUUCUUAAAAUAUGUUUUUUGCUUUUUGUUUUUACUUUCUUUUCUUAUUGUUUUUAUAUGUGUUGACCAAAAUUUAGAGUAAUUUGAGAUUGGCGAUAAAAUUUUCCUUUCAAGGUUAGAAAAUUUCUAUAAAAUCAUUUUAUUACAUAAUUUUUUCAAUUCCUUCCAUAAAACUCUUCCUUUUUCCUUUUUUAAGAAGAUGUUUGAUAAUUUUCUUUUGAUUUCUAUGAAAUUUCCUUUUAUUGGACUGUUUGUUUAUUUUCUAAGAAUAUUAUAGUAUGUUAUGAUGAGGAUAUUGGUUGGUGAUAUUUGAAAAUUAAUUUUUGAGAAAAUUAUUCUCAAUAUUGUCAUCUGCCACAAAAGGAUUUUAAAAGUAUGUUUUAUUUUUGCCUUCUUUUCUUAUUGUUUUUAUAUGCAUUGACCAAACUUUGGAGUAAUUUGAGAUUGAUGAUGAAAUUUUCCUUUCAAGGCUAGGAAAUUUCUAUAAAAUCCUUUUAUUACAAUUUUUUUUUUUUUCCUAUUCCUUCCAUAAAACUCUUCCUUUUCUUCAUUUUUCUUUUUUGAUGUUUGAUAAUUUAUUGAUCUAAAGAAUAUUAAAAGUAAAAAAUUUAAAAUAUUGAAUAUUUUUUCCUUUGAUGUUGUUAUUUUAUUAUUAUUUUUAUUUGAACAUAUUUUUCAUAUCCAAAUUUUCUAUUAAUUAUUUUACUUUUAAAAAAAAUAUCAAUUGAAGUUAUGACUGAAAAAUCAAUAAUUUUUAUGAAAGGUUCUUUAAUUCUUUCUCAUACUAAUUUUUCUCUUAACAUUUCUUAAUAGUGAAUUAGGUUUUUUUGUUUUAUAUACACAAUUUUCAUGCUUGUUAUAAUAUCAUGUCCUAUCAUAUUAGUAGUUGAAAACAUUUUUAUAUUUUGUUACUAAAAUUUUAUUUUAUAUAAUUUACAUGAAUUUUAAUGGACAUUGUUAUUUCACAAAAUGAACAUUAAAAAAAAUAUUGAAAUUAAGAAAAUCCUUCCAAGAAAUAAAAAAAUAUAAAAAGAAUUGGAUGUUAAAAAUGAUUUUUAAAAGCAUUAUGAAUUAUAAAAAAUAAAUUUAAAAGAUUAGUAUUUUCUAAAAUUUUAGAUUUAUAUUUUGAUUUUGUAGUUUUGAUUUAUUUCAUAUUUUCUUGAAUUGUUUUUAUUUGAGUUCAAAUGUGACUACUUUGUUAUGAGAUUCAUUAAAAGGAUAAUUGUUGAUUCUACAGUUAUUGCAUUAAAGGUUUUACUCAUUUAAUGAAUUGUACAUAGUUUCAUACUUCUAAUUAUUGUGAUAUUAAUGUUAUUUUCAUUUGAUUUUAGUUUGAUGACAAAAAACAUAUUCUCAAGUAGACUUUGAUGAAAUAAGAGGAGAAUGGAUUGCUUUUGUGUUAUAACUAAUCAUGAAUCAUGUUGAUGUAUCGUGAUCAUGCAUGGUGAGUCCCUUAGUUGUUAUAUAAAUUUUCCAUUGGUAUUGUAUAACAUUACUUAUUCUUUAUGAACUAUUUUUAUAUCAAAAUAGGAAAAAGAAAAAAGGAAACAUUAGUACUUAGAUUUGUUUAUUUUUUUAUAACAUCACUAUGGACCCCGCAUUUUCGGCUCGAUGCGUUUCCCACUCGAUGGCGAGCUCGAUUUUUAAUUUUGAAAAAUGAUUUUUAUUCAUUAAAAAUGACUUGGAGUCGCCACUUAUUUUUGUUUUAUUUUUAAAGGGUAAACAAAAUAAGAAAAAAAAACCCUAAGUGUGACUCCUUAUUUUAGAAAAGGCGAUCUACGAAAAAACCGGAUUGGGCUCGGGGGUUAGGUUACUUAUCGGGAAGGUACGGUAAAGACCGUAGCACCCCUCUAAGUCCCUAAAAUCGGGUCUUUACUAAUAGAAUGAAGCUGACGUGGCAGUCAACAAGAAAAUCGAUGAAUAGUCAAAUCAAUCAUGCACAAUAUGAGAAGCAAAACAUGUAUAAAGAAUGAGCGAAAUAUGAAUAGAUGCGUACCUGGACGGCAAUCACGAACGCGCUAUCAUGAAACAUGGUUAGUGAACAAUGAACAGAUAUAAUUAAGCGCAUAUCAAGGAAUAGAGUAAAUCAAUCAUGCAUAGCAAAUAAAUAAAUCAAUUAGUUAAUCGAUUAUAAAUCACAUAUGUGGGGCCCCACCAAAGUCCAUUUAUUUUGCAUGAUUUAAUUCCAAUAACUCCAUUACUUGGAAUUACGGAAAUGAAUUCUUGCUUAUUUUAAAACGUUUUAAAACGAAGGAGAUGUGGAAAUUAUUUGCUAGAAGGAAAGAUGACAACAAAAUUUUAUUGGAAAUGAGAUUUUUGAGUGAUCCUAAAAAUUCUAAAGAUGAAAAUUUGAAAAAUAAAUAAAUAAAUAAGAAUAAAAUAAAAUUAUUUGAAAAUCUAGAAAUUGGAAACUAUUUGAAAACGGGAAAUUUGGAAAUUAAUUUAAAAUUGAAGAUAAAGAAAUAAAUAGAUAAAUAAAAAAAUAAAUAAAGGACACGUGACUCAAAAUGUGGUCAUGCAUAGUUGCUUGUAAAUUGGACAGCCAGUUGCUUCUCAUACUCUCAGCGUCAAGAUGUUCCUUGAUGUAGUUGCCCCAUGUGUCAUCCUUAGCCGUGAUAAUGCAUGUGUUUUCAUCCCAAUUAAAGUCACUUUGAUCAAGAAGUGCCUUGAUAGUGACAUAUUGCAUCCUCAAGACAUCAUACCGAUUCCUCAGUUGGUCCUUAUCCAUGGAUUCCCGCGAAAUAAAUCUGUUACCAGAACAUUGUAACCAUUGCAUGCAACGCGAUAUGCGGAGUCCCUUGUGGAUGAAUUUUCGAAGCCAAAGGCAUCAAACAAGAGCAGUAUCCCUGCCAACUGCGUGUUCAUCCAGCCGCUCAAUCACGCCACUAACAUGGGCACAGCGGAAAGCAUCAACACAACCUUAAUUCCUCUCUUGUAGCUGUUUAGCAGAUCCAAGUCUGUACAAGACUUGAUCUAUGGCAACGUCAUGAGGAUAUAGCCGCGGGGUAGCAUAUGAAUCCAAUCAAUGGGAAAUGGGCAUUAGGAAUGGUGGUCAGGCUUUGCAUGAUUUCAUACACGUGAAUGAGUGAUGCUGGGACCUUCAUGGAGGCUUUGAGUGGAUCUUUGGGCGGCGGUGUAGAAAGAGAAAGGUAGCAGGAAGAAAAGAAUGGGUGUGGGCUUGGUGGUAUGAAACGUGUGGUGUUAAAGAGGAAUGUGGCGUACAUGAGGAAAGACAUGGUGAGUGGAAUGAGCUAUGGGCAUGAGAGAAAUAGAGAAAAUGGGUAUGAAGGUUAAUGAGAGAGAACGGGCGUGUGAGGGUGGUAAAGGAAAAUGGAUGAUGGAUGCACAUAGGUGGAAAUGGGAAUGGAUUUGAUAAAGCAUGAAGGUAGGAAUGGGAUUCGGGUGAUAUUAGAUUACCAUGCAUGGAGAAUGUAUACGUGGAGGUCUAUUAUGCAAAGGAACUAAAAACGGGUCAAGUGAAGGGCUGUUUAGGGAAUAUGGCAUCAGUUUCAGGUUGAGGGGAUGGGGCCCUUGGGCCAUUUGGCUACCCACAAGUAUGAUCUACAAAAUAGGGUCCUUAUGUCAGGGUCAACUUUCGGAUUUUUGCAAAGCUGAUGCUACCAAUUUAAACUCUGAUCAAUCAGUGUCCGCGAUCUUGAGUCCUUCAAGCUGAUGCAACGCGUCUUUAGGAAGGUAGAGCCUCCAAUGAAUACUUUAGAUUUCGAUUUUUGAACAAUCAUGGCAGAACCCUUCAUCGAUUGGCAUUAUCAUUACCCUGGGAUUGCAGCAAGAUGCAUGGAAGGCUUCUUCACUAUUAUCACAAAUGAGCAUAUACAAUAUAUUUUCUGAAUGACCACACGAUUUACAUGGUUGGGAUGAGUUGCUAUUCCCACUAACUCCCAGAACUUCAAGAAGCUCCUGACUCCUCAGUAUAGAAAUGCGUGUAAUCAUUACCCUCUUGUUUGGCAUGACCUGUGCAUACCCAAGAAUGACACCUACUAACCAACCAAUUGAUCCUUAUUGCAUUUAGAACUCAUCUGCAUCCCCUAGUCAAUUUCAGUUUCUGACAGUUAAACCAAAAAUCCCCAGUCUCAGCAAUGACAGUAGUCUCACUUGACAACAUUUUCUGUAUAUGCUGGAACAGAACAUAAACCCUCAAAGGCUCCUCGGGAUCAGACGUAGGAGACUGUCCCUCAGGAACGUAAACUCUAUGGUAGAACUCAUAGGCAGUGAUAUUGCAUUCGAGCCUCUUGGAGAAUGACUUGAAGAAAUCUUUCAUCAAAAUGCACCCAAGCUCAAGCCCAUAAGCACACCAAACACCAUUAUUGGGUUCGUUACAUCACCAUGCUACGGAGUUUAUACAACAGGAAGCUCUAACUGAUGAUGGUUCUGGUAGUGAUUUGCCAAUGGGAACUUGGCCAUCAAGUGAACCCGAUAUCAGAAGCUGAAGUUAUUACCUUGUACUCUUCUAUUCCCCCAUUAUCAGCAAUUCCAAUGGAAACAGUAGGAGAGCCUCAAGACUGUGUAUCCAUUCAAUAACUCUGUUUCUCAGUCAGGAUGCAAAAAACUCCCCAAUGAUUCUACAGCUGCAACCACAGGAGCCCCACUACUACCAGUUCCUUCACCCAUUCUGACAGCAACCAAAACCAGACCAAUGACUUGAACUUUAGACUUCCCCAAUCCAUUAAAUCCAGAAACCACUUGGAGUUAGAAACAUUUUCUACCUCAUCCUAGAACUUUCAGGUAUUUUACAAAGUAAUGGUCGGUAUUUUUCAAAAGCAAAAAGAAAAAAAGGUAAGACUCAAGAAACAGAGCAAACUCAGAAUUCGUUAAUCAAGACUCCAUCUCAUGCUGCACUCAAUGGAUCUAAACAGGUGAGACAAGCAGGGAGCAGUGGCAUGAUUAAUCAAUCUCAAAAAUAAUCCAUAUAUCGGUUAUUGACAGGAAAAAACAAAGAAAGCAGAAAAGAACCCAAACAGAGCAAAUACAAAAACAAACUCAAAUUCAGCAAAUCAAUCCACAAUCAAGAAAAACUAACAAUGCUCAAGUAGCCUGAGAAAAAUGAUGAAGAACAGUGAUAAUGAAAAAUACCCUAAAAAAAAGAACACGAUACUUCAUACCUGUGAAACUCCUCUCCGAUGAAGCUCACCUACCAAACCAAUCUGCUCCCAUCCUUGGCACUAGAACCCCUCUCCGUAGCAGCCUAAGCUCAAGGAAAUCCCUCUCCAGACCGAUCUCUUCUUUCUUCUCAAGUUCUUUUCUCCUCCUCUCAAAAUAUCUCUCCCUGAAAAACGGCAGCCAAAACCUCCCUCUGCAGCUGGCCUGCCCCCGUAACAGAAUACCCCCCUCUAGCUUUCUCACUACCCUCAAAAGCACCCUCUCUCUCCUGCAGCUGCAAGCCUCCACUACCCCCAUGCAGCUGGCAGCCUCUACUCCUCUAACGGCCAGCAGAUUCUCCUUCUAGAAAAUUCUUUCCCUUUUCCAGGUGUCUUUCCCUGAUUGGCCCAUCAAUUCCACUAUAGUGAUUCUACAGUGACCAAUCCUAAGAAGGCACGUGGCCUUAUGAGAUUGCGACACUUGGCAAACACAGGCUGCCAAAAAGUGAGCCCCCAAAUGGGGGUCUACAAUCACAUUUUUAUUUUCAAUAAGAACUCUAAAACUCAUUAAACUAUAAAAUGCAGAUAUACACUCUUGAGAGGACAAUAUGAAGAAUAAAAAGAAAUAAGAAAGAAGCAACAAGAUUUGGAUUUUUAGAUGUGACUCUUAUGUCAUACAUUAUACGACAUAAAUGUUAUUUUAUUUGGAAUUGAGAAUUGUGGGUUUUUUUAUGCAACUCUUGUGUCAUUUGGUUAGCCGGUUUUAUGCAUAUGAAACGUAAGUAUACAUGAAUGUUGGGAUGCUUAACAUUUCUAAAUCAUGUUUUAAUGUGUAUUCACUUUUCUUUUUUAGUUUUGGUGGGUUUGAUAUACUAUGUUUUGUGAACAUUUGAUAUACAAAUAUUAGUGGAUGAUGUAAUGUAUUAUAGGUUAAUCCAUAAGCAUAAAGAAAAUAUAAGUUAAAUGUAAUAUGAUUAUUAUAUUUAUGGACAAAAUUUACACACGUUGAUCUUAUUUAUUAAUAAGCAUUACAAAAAUCUAUAGGCUAGUCAACAAAAAACAACCAUAUCUUCUAUAAUCAUUUACAAUGAAGUGACACCAUAAUUCAAAGGUGAUGCAUUUAACGUGACAUCAUAACUCAAAGGUGAUGCAUUUAAUAUGACACCUUAUAUAUCUCACAUAACUCUAUAUCAAAUUAAGCAUCACUAAAAAUAUAUGGUGUCGCUUCUAAAUGCGUCACAAUUUAUCUGUUUUGGUGUCGCUUCCAAAUACGUCACCAAUUGGUACCCUCUAUGGUAUUGGUGGAUAAGGUGACGCUAUGUUGUAGCGACACCCUAUGUUUAGGGUGACUCGUUAUAAAUGUCACCAUAUAUGUUUUUCCUUGUAGUGUCAUUGGGAAGGUUUUUUCCAUUUUUUAGAGGGGUUUUCUAAAGGCUUCUAGGGUGAGGACACUGUUCUCAUAUUGGCUUUUUUUCCCCCUUUUUAGAGGGGUCUUCUAAAGGCUUCUAAGGUCAACUAGGAGAGCAUGUUGAUUGAUGCUUUGAUAUGGAUACCAGAUGCCACAUUUCAUCUUGUUGAACACUGGUUAGCUAUGGACUUGUUACUGCUUUACUCUUCUGUUUCGAGUUAACUUUGGAAAUGAAUCUGAAUAUAGACUAGUAUUUGCAUCUUGAUGUUUAGAGAAUCAUAUUUUAGUUGUUGUUUAAAAUUCAUUUUGGCAUGUUCGAUUGCUUCAAGCUCAUUUAUACAAUAAUGAAAUGGAGAUUUAUAUAUUUGUUAUUGGGUUGGCUCUCUGUUUGGUUAUCUUUAAGUUCUGCAUCUUUUCUUUUCUCGUUGCCUUAUCUUCUCUGGGGGGUGUCGUUUGAGAAAUACAUAGUGGAAAAAAUGGGAAGCUGAAGGCUUAUCCUGGCAUCGACCUCGCGUUAGGGAACGACUUGAUCGAAGAACAUAUGAAUUUUUCAAAUACCCAGAACUCACAUCAAAAGAAGCAUCGGAGUCAAGGUCAAACACAUCAUCUGACAAGGAAUAUACCUUUGCCUUUGGUGACUUUAUUGACUUCUGCAUGAUGGACAUCCGAGGGUGGGGACUGGAAGAGAAAUGAUGAAUUUGCCCAAGAUAGUUUGUCUAGAAAGGAACUUGUAUUAAAUGAUGAUUACCCACUAUGUCAGAUGUUGAAAUUUGGGUAUGACAACUCCUGGUGGCAUCAGAAAGAUGAGUUGCACAAUCCUUCUCACAGUUGAAAGCUUGACCUCCGAAGUUGGGCUUUUUCAUGGCCAGACAAGAACAGUGAUCACAAUAGUAUGAGCCAAGCCUGUCACGACCCAAAUUCUAGGUGAACUUAACCAUGACUCCAAAUCAAAGGUUUAAACUUAAAGGUUACAUCUAUUCAAUCUAGUAGUCAAUCCUGAUAACUUGAUUUUUUUUUCUUGAUAAAACAAUAUCUAAUCCCAAAUCAAUUUAUUAAGCUAAUAACUUGAUUUUUUUUCUCAAUAAAACAACAUCUAGUCCCAAAUUAAUUUAUUAAGCUAAGAUUUACUAUAUCAUAUUAUUUGAUUUUAUUUUUCAAAAAUCAACCAUUACACUAUCACUUAUUUGCAAGUAUAAUAAAUCUGUCAAACAUCUUAUCACCCAAAAUGAUAACCCAAAUAUUUACAAAAAAAAGUUUUACAAAUUAAUAAAAUAUAGUCUAAGUUAUAAAAGUUCUUAUAAAUUAAAUUAGUAUGUGCUAAAAUAUAAGAUAACUGAAAAAAAAAAAAAAAAAAAAAAAACCAUUAUUAUUAUGGUUCCUUAAAAACUAUAUUUGCAUCUAAAAAUUUUAGAAAAUAAAGGGAUGGACAUUUCCACAUUACUUAGUAAGGUAUUUUACACCCACACAAAUUAGAAAUUCUAAGUCAAUAAAACACAAUCAUAUAUCAAAGUGUAAUUUUACAUCUAAUGUACUACAACUAUAUACAUUUAAACUAAUCAAAAUUAUCACUAACCAUAAUCAGACUCCAAAUAAUACAAAUAACAUUUAUUAUCUCCCAAAAACAUAAUGUGUAAUUUUGUUUCCAAAGAAAAAUAUAAAAUAAAAGUUUUAGGGUUAAACCACCCUACAUCAAAUUUGAAAAUCUAAUUGUUAAAACUAAAAUCAGACUCCGUAAAAAUGUUCUUUAUGUUAAAUAGAGUGUUUUGCUAAAAUCUCAUGCAAAACAGAAUUCAUUUGGCUUGUCGGAUGACAACCCAAAUAUUUGUUGCACCUUCCUUGUUUCUUCUCUUCCUUUGUGUUUCCGUUUGCACUCUUCUCUCUACGGAUCUGGUAAAUAGGGUAGCCCCUGGUACGCUUGGGGCUGGAUUGAAUCCUAUUCGAACUAUAUCUAACUUGAUCUUGUCCAAGCUAGGAAGGUUUUUGGUCUCGAUGACAUUGGAAGUUUCAUCAUUGCUAAAGAAAGGGGCGGCCAAAAAGGCUUAGCGACGACCCUCUCUCGACUUAAAGGAAACGACUUGUCCCAUCCAAUGCCCUACUUUUAAGUGCUCGGUAUGUUCACUUAAUCAAAUCUAGAAGAAGCUUGGCCUCUGUAGAGCAUGAAAAGGCUAGUUUUGAAGCUUUUAAUCGAGGACUUAUUUGCCCUAAAGCCUGACUUCUUAGGAAGAGAAAUGGGCUUGACUUCUUCAUCAACCUCGGAAUCGCAUUCUAUCACACUGGUGGUACUUCUUGUUGAAUUAAAAGAUUGGAUGAGUCUUUUUGUACCCACCCGCCACCCCUGUUUGAGAGUGAUUAAAUAUCAUAACUUCCUUAAUGGACCUACGGACUAGCUAAGGUUUACUUACAUAGUUGUUCUUUCUUUUCUCAAUUUCAAGUUAAAGUUAGCGUUUUUCAGCUUACUGUUUGCUUUGGUUGAGUAGCCGCCUUAUGACCCUUUGCUUUUGAAUGAAAUCAUCUAGAACCUCUCAGAUCGGAUUCCAAUCACCUUAGUGAGUCUCCUAGGUGCGAAGCCAUUCUUUAAGCCCAAAACAAAAGGAGAAGUGAAGUCACUAUCUAGACAAAGGGGCUUGCCUACUUAUAAGGUAGGAGUUCACACCGGGGAAUCGCUUUCUUAAUUAAUUAAAAGCGAGCCAAACUCACCACCUCAUGUACCAAAGUCAAACGGUUGUUCUUCCUUCCCCGCUCCCUUUUUCUCUACAUAUGUGAUGGCGGGCAGAGCGCUCUAUAUGACCGGUGGUGGGUUACCAGAGAAGAUGGGACAACUUCUUUCUCUCUUGCCUUGCUCAAUCUUCCUUUUCUGAUUGAAAGUAGCAAGCCACACCACUACUGGUACAGAGGUCGGAUAGAAGGUUGCUUUUUCUAUAUGUUCAGGCGAAGAACAUCUACGGCACAGUCUUCGCCAAGCAAGAUGAUGUAACUCCUCAAAACAUAAAAAGAGCUCUUAUAUAUGUAAAAACAUGAUAUAUGUGUAAAUGAAUUAUAGCCAUUUUCAAAUAGAUCAGGAUCGUCAGAUGUUUGAAAUGGAAAGUCAAUUUUUCUAUAUGCAUGUAGAUAUCUAUAGGGGAUUAUAUGAAGGGGAUGUUAUUAUUUUAGAUAUAAUCAAUUCCCUUCUCGGAGCCCACUAAGAUCCGGAUCUCCUACGGAAAUGAUUUAGAAGAUCCAAAACCAAAAAUAGUGGUAUUUGCUAGCAACAACAUAAUGGAGGCAGUCAAUCAAUAUAUAUUGAUCUAAAAUCUGAUUCAAAUCCAAUAUAGCACCUAUGGGUACAUAAAAGAAAGGCAAGAGAGAAAAGAAGUCCAUACUUUUCAACAAAGCUUUAAGUGAGUAGGGGUGUAGCAGAUUCAUGCACGUCGAAUAUAAAUGCAGUUGGAUGAGUAGUCGCGGAUUCACAAUGCCGGUUAAAAAGCCAAUCUUAGGGUUGCAUUCACUCCCCUUCUAUAUCUUGCAUCUAUAGUAUUUUUGUCCUGGUGGAUCUCUUUAUCAUUUAAUAAAAGUUUGGAAUCUUGGGUUACUAAUUGGUGGAAUACUAGGCAAUCUAAAACUUUUUUGAAUGAUAUUCAAGAAAACAAUCAAUUUCCCAUCAUUUGCACUAUGAAUGGAAAUGAAAUUCUAGAUCUAGAAUCAGAUGAAUGUGCAACAGUCAAUUUCCUCCCUCACAACCUAAUUGUCCACUAAAAACAACCUUUUUUACUAUACGCUAUUUGGCCGCUAGAAGAACUUCAGUUCUUAUAGGUAAAUGCUCAAUACCCAAGUAGGCCUACAAAGUUGAUCAUGAUCAAGUGCUUUUUGGGUCGUCUUAGACCUUGCAAUAUCUCUCCGGCCCUCUAGCACUCUGUUAUGGCUCAAUCACUUACUCUAGUUCUGGAGUUCUAGGUCCUCUAGCUAUUAGUGCAGGUAGCUCUCCUUCUGGUAAUGCAUUAUAGGUUGUCUUCCUUCCACCUUCCUGUUUUCAAGAAAGCUUAUUUUCUUUCUAAGAAAAAUCAUACAAUCUCGUAUGAGAACGGGAUUGAUGGGAGGCAUAUGCUCCCAGGCUACACAAUGUCUUACAGGGCUUACCCAGUUAGAAGGUAUGUAACUAAAGUCUCAAGAGAAUUGAAAUCGACGAGAAAUCAGAAUCAAUGUUAGAGAUUAGACUUGGCAUGGAAAAAGGAGUAUAGUAAGAUGAUAGAGACCUCGCACGAGAUGCUUACUCGGAUUCAUGCCCAUAAAGAGUAGAAGAUUCAACACAAGUGCAAGAAUAGGUUUCACAGUUAAGAAAGGUUGAGAUUCAGGUGAGUGAGUGAGUCCUCACUGACUUGAGCGAUUUCGAUCACCUAGCAGUUUAUUUGGUAGGUAACAUCGCUAAAGCAUAUCAUCUGAUCUACAAAUGAAGGAAAUCAAAGUGAGACGACACCGUCCUCUGUAACGCAACGAUAGUUGGCCCUUUAUCAUCAACUAUUUGGUAGACUUGGUAAAAGAUGUAAGGCUUUAGCUAGUACACGAAAGUGCAUACCAUGAUUCUUCUGUCUAUCAAUAACUGCAUGCAUUGCACGAUGGAUGUGAAGAAGUAGGCCAUUAUCUCGACAAUAAUGAGCCAAGCUAGUAUUUGCAGUGAAUCCCCCUGUUAAGUAGUCACAUUAAUGGAACAAGAACACAUUAGCGUAUGAAACAGAGCUGAAAGCGCGAGUGCACAAUCUCAAAAACGGCAAAUUCACGUUCUACUUCCUCAAUCUCGAACUCUGUCUAUUGGGAUGAGCUCCCCUUACCUGCGCUAUUCUAUGAACGAACUUCCUUUAUAAACCAUAAAACUGGAACAAUCACUGUUCCAGGGUCUGUCUCAGAGUUCUAUCUCGUGCUUGACAUCAAUUGCAUCCAAACCUUUAAUCGGGUAUACUUUCCACAAUAACAAGCGAGUCAUAGUUAGGUAAAAGUUAUACAGAAAGAUGACAUCGUUGGCGAACUUGAAGCUAGUUAGGUAAAUCCCCUUAUAUUCUUCUUUCUUCUCCCAUAAGACAUUCCUUAUUAUUAUUAUUAUUAUUAUUUUCAUUUUCUCAAUUUCUUUAUCUUUUCAACUUUAAGACACCAUUUUGCACUUCUUCUUUUUUAUUAUAAUUAUUAUUCUUUAUCAACCAUACCAUGUUAAGAAAUUUAUUUAUUUUAAUCCAAAAAUCUACUUAAAUACAAUUUCAUACUUUUCUUAAUAAAUUAUAUAUAUAUAUAUAUAUAUAUAUAUAUAUAUAUAUAUAUAUAUAUAUAUAUAUAUAUAUAUAUAUUAUUUCUUAUUAUAACAAAUUUAAAAUGUCACAUGUAUCAUUUUUUUAAUAAAUCAAAUUAUUAUUCUUUAUUUCAUAUUCUACAAUUAUAAAUUAUACUCAAUAUAUGAUUUAUUGUCUUACGAAAAAUAUACUGCUAUAUUCUUAAUUAAAUUUAUUACAAGUCUACUUUUCAAAAAAAAAUUAAUUUGACUUUAAUUACUUGAAACAUUUUUAUUAUGAAAUUCAUUUAGAACAUGAUUUCAUUAAUUAUAUAUUUAAAAAAAAUCAAUUUUAGAAAAAAAUCUGAAACAUAAAAUAAUUCUUCAACAUCAAGAAGCUGAAAUUCAUAAUAAUAUUUAAUCCUUUAAUUUUACCAAUAUUUAUUUACCAAUAAAAUUUAAGCAAUAUUCUGAAAUUUAAUUCCAUUAGUUAUUUAGUCAUUCAAUUUAUAAAAUCAUAUUCUCAACCUUUGGUAUAACUUUUAUUUAAUUUACUUCAUUUGUCAAAUUUCUCAAUUGAAUCAAAAUUUCAAAAGUUAAAUUCACUAAAUUCAUAUUUAAUUAAUUUAGCCUUUUAUAUUCCCUAAAUUAAUAUAUCAUAAUUUACUCUUAAUGUAAUUUCAAUUCAAUUUUAUUUGAUGUUUUGUAAUUCUAUAAGGUUUAAUUCUAAUUAUAAAAAUUAUUGAUUUCUUAUAAAAUUAAAUUCAAUUUCUUUUUAAUUAUCCAUUAUAACAAUUUGAUAUAAUCUAAAUUUUUAUCAAGUUUUUCUUACUACAAUUCUCUAUAAUUAAAUUAAUGGUCAUAAUAUACUUAAUAUUCAAUUUUAGAGACUAUAAUAUCAAUAAUUAUUUGAUGGUUGAAUUUUUUUCCAAAUUUAAAUUUAAUUUUUGAAAUUCCUACUCUUUGCAUAUGACGUGAUGGAAUUUUUAUACUAUUGACUUUUUAUUAACUUUUUCAAAAAAUUUCUUAAUUAAAUAUUAACACGGGGAUUUUCGUCAUUCUUUUUUAACAUUUGACUAAUGAUUUUAUGAUAACUUUAAUCUGACAUGUCAUUAAAAAUCCGGUUGUUAUAGAGCCAGUCAAAUUAAGCCUGUUAUCCGAGGAGUGAAGCCACUGCCUUGUUCUAUCUCCGAUGGCCUGCUCAGCUCCUUCAACCCCCAUCGCUCUCCUCUUUCCAAGUUCUCCAUUUUCAGUUUAGAGCCAACAAGGAUCGCAGAAAUCCUUAAAGAUUGACCUACAUGGUAUCGUGAGUACCGCGAUGUGGAUGUUCUUAAUGUGUUGUCUACUAGAGCCAAAUGGGUGUUUGAUAAGACCCAGUGAAGGUGUAAAAAUUAUAUGACGAAGCUUGCAGAAAGACUUUGAGUUGAGGGAAGGCAUCUCAACGAAGUUGGGCUUUUGUAUUGUGAAUCUGGCAAAUUACCUAUACUGCAUGGAUCAUCACUCUUUUAACGUGGAGGUACACAGGUCCUUUGCAAUGUGACACUUGGGGCACCACAUCAAGCUGGUGAUGCUCAACGACUGGCUUCUCUGGACGGGUCCUCCAACAAAGCGCUUCAUGCUUCACUGAAAUUUCCCGGAGUUCUCAAUUAAUGAAGUUGGCCAACUCCUUAACCUGCACUGUUCCGCAGCAGUCACAUAAAGAUUUGACAUUGAAAUUGAUCAGGUUUUUCCUCUGCCAAUGGUGGUGGGCGCGCUUUGUAUGUAGAUUCCGAAGGAACUUCCAACUUGAUGGCUGUGAGUGGUAAGGUUGGAGAAGAUACUACUGGGUCUGCCCCAUUAGUUUUCCAUUGUUAAGGUAGUUUGGUGCACAGCUUCCUGGAUCAUCUACACCACGAGCACCUCCAGCCGCCUGUUUUGAUCAGUUUCUGGAUUUCCAUCUCCAAAUUGUGCAAGCAGUGACUGAUAUGGUGUCCAUACAAGCGGCUACUGAAAUGGUUCAAACCCCAAAUGCUGAAGGGAAAGGAGCUUUUGGAAAAUAUCAUGAAGAAGACUCACCCAUCUUACAUGAAAUUAUACACAACUCCAUGGACCAGAACCGGAACCCAGACUUAAAUUUGUCCAAGAGAAGAUCAGUGUAAUACAAGUCAACUGCAGUCAUUCCUGAAAGAAGUGAUGAGAAGAGUAAACCUGGAAAAGCAGUGAGUGAAACAAGUUUUGUGACAUUGAACAAUUUGCAGAUGGGUGUUCCCACAAGCUCCUCUCCCCUCUUCCUACGUGCAUGAAAUUCCUACGUGCAUGGCCACCUUCUUAGGUGUGCAAUUCUGCGCAUAAUUCUCAAGCGUACUAUCACCCUCUUCUUUUUUGAAAAAUUGAUUUUAAAUUUAAAAUUUUGACAAAUUCAUUUCCCUUUUAAAAUCCCUCAGUAAUUCUCUUCAAAUUAAUAAAAUCUAUUUUCAAAAAAAAUUUGCUGCCAUUUUCCUUUUGGCAUAGACCUUUUUCUAUUUUCUUUGAUUUUUAAUCAUUUUCCAAUUUUUUAAUAAAUAUGAAUAAAUUCUAUGUUUUUAAAAAUAAUGGAAUUUUGUCCAAAUUUCUAUUAUCUUUUUCUCCAUGAUCAUUAGAAAGAUGAAAUUCCUAAAAUUAAUUCAUGCAAAUAAAUUGGACAUUGGUAGGCCCAACAUAUGAAUUUUUCUCCUUUGAUUAUUGUUUUUAAUUGCUACACUUGAUUGACUAAUGAUUGAUCUCUGUCUUGCUCUAGCAUACAUGAGAUUAUUUUGUGCUUGUUAUUGUACACUAACCAUGUUUCUCACGAAGCGCUCAACUUAUUCUCAAGUACGUUCUUUCCUUUUCCUAUUCGUUUAGUUAUAACCAAUGUUUUCAAAAUCGGACCGAUCAUUGAAUUGGAAAAGUUACUGGUUCACGGUUCACUGGUCGAAUCGGCGGUCAAAUCACGGUCAAACUAGUGAUGUCAUAAAUAUAUAAUUUAUAAAUUAUUAAAAUUUAAAAUAAUUAUAAAAAUAAAAAUAAUAAUUUAUAUAUUAUUUAAAAAUUAAAAUUUUAUUUAAAAAUUAGAAAAUUAGUUUCAAAUUAGAAAUUAAAAUUAAAAUCAUAAUUUUAAUUUUAAUUUUCAAAUUUUCAAAUUCAUUUUUAAAUAAAAAAAAACUUAUUUUAAAAUCAUGAAUUUAUUUAAAAUUAUAAUAUUUUCAUUAAUUUAAAUUAAAAUCAUAAGUUUUAAACAUCAUGAAAUAAAAAAUAAUAAAUAUAAAAGAAAAUAAAUUAUACUGAAAUGAGGUAAAAAAUAAUUUAAAAAAAUGGAAAAAGAGAGGAGAGGAACAAGCAAAAAAGGGUUCCAACAGGGUUUUGGGGGGUGGGGUUUCCAUUUCUAGCGCCAGGUGGGGGCCCUUCCGGUGGGCCAAAAGGGGAAAAGCUUUUUGGCUUUUCCAGUGCAAGGGGUGCCGAUGGGGUGGGGGGUUCCAAUGGGCAAGAAGAGCUCUUCCAGCGCACGCGGGUAGGAGUGGCGACAAUGGGGAAAAAAAAAAAGUUGAACCGGAUGGUUCCAUCCGAACCGUCCGGUUAGUCGGCCGAACCACCGAUUUAACUAGUCCGACCACUUUCCAGCCCAAUUGACCAAACCAGAUUGAAACCGUGACCAGCCGAUCCAAUCCAAUUUUUAAAGCCAUAAUUAUAGCUCAACCAUAACACAUCAUUGAUCAUUACUUGGUAUUUGUUGACUUUUUGAUCAAUUGUCAUUCUUAUAUUAACUUGAUUAUUAGAGACCUAAUUUUAGGGUAUAAAGGGGUAUUACGAUUUAUCAUCCUACCUUCUCAACAAGUAACCUGACCCUUGAACCCAGACUUGGUUUUUCAUAAACCCGUAUUUUCCUUUCAAGUUUCAUACUUAGAAUUUUUUUUUUUCCAUUUAAAAAUAAAAUAAAGAUACGUGGCCUAAAACCAUUUUCAUCAAUCCAAAGUGAGUCUUGUCUUUUUUUUUUUCAAGUAAGGACACGAUCACAGGUCUACAAUACUAUUUUAAUAUAUAUAAUGAAAUAUAGAUAUUAACGCCAUCUUAAAGAUAUAAUUAAAUUUUUUGUUUAAAAUAAAUUAUAAUAAUUUAAAAAUAAUAUUUUAUUUAAAAUAAAUUUUAGAAUAAGCAAAGUUGAUAUGUGGACAUAGAGAAUCGUGAACCAUUGUAAAUGUAUUGAUUAUAUCUCUUUCUUCCCAUUUCAUUUUUACUUUAGUUUUUAUUAUUCGUAUCUUUUUCUACUAAAAUUUGAAAAAGAAAUUCACAUUCACUUCUUCUUGGGUGUAUAUCAUAGGAUUCAAAAUGUUUUUAAAAAUUAUUAAAUUUGUUAAUUGUGACUAUAUGCUUAUUUAGGAUCCAUUGAUCUUAAUAACUUUCUUCCCGAUAUAGGAAGAAAAUGACUAUUCCAUUAAUGCAGCAUGCAUUGCUGCUUAUUUAUCAAGCAAAUUACAUUAUUAUUUUCACACCAAACCUCCAAAUUCUCCAUGCAUAUACGCAUCCUAUACUGCAUGGCCAACUUCAGAGAGCUAAAACAAGCUCUUAUUGAAUACAUGAUAGAUAAUGUCCCACUGACCCUUUUACUCUGAUACCCUGAAAUGAGAAAUUUGGAGGUUUUCCACAUCAAGCUUCUUGAAAUUACUGCGCCUUCUCGUAACAAAGAACUUUCCCCAGUUGUAUGCUCUAUACUUUGGCUUUUCCCCCUUCGUCAGCUCCUCCAAGGGCUUCACCCAAACAUGGUGCCCGGGACUCAAAACGAACGGAAUCGAGAACCUUUCCCUCUCUGAAUUCACCAUCACCCUGUGCUCCACACUUUCAUAAGUAUCGUUGCUCCAGACCUGGUUUAAUAUCAGUAGAAUUAACCAAAUGAGUGAAAAAUUCCUUGAGCCAAACACUACUGAUAAGCAUGUACUUGUAAUUCAAAGUUCUUGGGUGGUACCUGAACUAUAUCCCCAACAUUGAUGAUAUAAGCAUCUGGGGUGGGCUUAACUCGAACCCAUUCUCCAUCAGUUUUUCGCUUUACUUCCAACCCUCCAACAUCAUCCUGAGCAAGGAAAGUUAAGGCUCCGGAAUCCUUGUGGCGACCAAUGCCCAGAGCUAGGUGAGGAAUGGAGCAAGGUGGGUAGUGAUUGAGGCGGAUGAAGUUUGUUGAUUCUUCAAAGAGAAGAUUGAAUCUGUUCUCUGGCAAACCUAAGCUCAGAGAGAGGAGUCCCAACAGAUUGACAGCUAGUUUUUCCAUUUCUCUAGCAUAUUCUUCACAUACCUCCCUGUAUAAAUCAGCUCAAUUAGAACAAAAAAACUUAAGUAAUUCACUGUAGUGACUGUGCCUUAGCUGGUGGAAUUUGUACCUUAAUUCAGGAGGGUACUGAGGCCACUGAUUGAUCAGCUUUUCGAGCUCCUUGUCGUCAGGAUUAGGCGAAGCAGGGAUGAAGGCGGGGGAUGACGCCACGAUAUCAAAGACUUCCUUCCAGUCCCUAACGUUCUUGGUAUGCUCAGUAUCGAAAUACCCAAAAGGAUUCACCUCAUCUCUACUCACCUUCCUCUUCUCCUCCAAUGGCAGAGCGAAGAACUUCCUCGCCGCAUCCUCAAUUUUACGACGAGACUCGGAGGGCACCCCAUGGUUGAUGACUUGAAAGAAGCCCCAGUUCUUGCACGCAUCAGCUAUUUGAGAAACAUGGUUGGAAGCAUUGGCGGAAGAGAGAUCAAUGAGGGGGAUGCCUUCAGCUUCGAUAACAGCGAGCUUAGGCCUAUGUUGGGUGUCUUGGAUGAAAGCUGGAUCGACCUCUCCCAUGGCUGUGGUAGUGGUUAGAACUUAGAACUUAGAAAUGGCGGUUAUGCACUGCUGGUGUUAGCUGCACGUGAAGAUGGUGAGGGGGACUUGGCCACUUAGCAGGUGGUUUUUGUAGUGUAGUGGGGUUGGUUUAGUACAUUGAACCUGGACAUAAUUGGGGUUACGUUUUAAGUUUUGGUUGGGGGUGUGGGCUCAUGGGUUGCGCAAAUGUCAAUGAUAAUUGGUCAAGUGAUACCAAGUUAUUUCCAAAAUCUGCAGCCGCAAAGGGUAUCUCUCUCGAUGAUUUUGGCAACGUACAGCACUCUCCACAUUCAAAUGUUUGAUCAAAGAUACGUUUUGUUUAGUGUCGUGUAUAUUUUCGAAUUAAUUACUUCAUAUUUAGGGAUACGUUUUGUUGAGUAUCGUGUAUAUUUUCGAAUUAAAAACUUCAUAUUUAGGGAAAAGUGUGCUUCAAUACGCUAAUAUAAAAAUAUCAGCAAAAUAAGAUCCUAAUUUUUCAUAUUUUAAGGUUUAUAAUGCAAUUGGAAAUUAUUUGGAGAAUUAUGCAUUUUCAGCUCAUGUGUAUUUCAAAUCCAAAAUGCUCUCCACCUUGCCAGCCAAGUCUUACACGUUGAAAGUAAAGAGAGAAAAAAUCUUCAAAAAGCCACCAAAACCAAUUUCUCUUUCUUUUUGAGUUAUUUGAUUCAAAAGAUCAAUAAAAUCCAAUUUUUAAAAUUUAACCCUUUGUUCUUUUUUUUUUCAUUUUGAUAAAAAUAUCUUUACCAUUUUCUUGUAGAAAUAACAUUUUUUUUAAACCUAUAUGUAAAUACUUGAAAUGGUAAGAGACGUGUACAUUAAAAAAAAGUUAUUUUUCAAGUAAAAAUAUAGAAAGGAUUAUUUCAUCCCUUUUAACCAAAUAUUUAACAUGAUCAAGGACUAUUCCCUAAAUGAAGGCAUACGGUAGCAAAUACCCUUAAUCUAAACAUUAAAAGUACAACUUAUCUAGUAUCAAACACUCUGUUUUAAAACCCAUAGCCACUCCAAAUAUCCCAAAUAUUCUUUUCUAUGCAACCUCUCUCUCUCUCUUUCUCGCACAAACACACUAAAAUAUUUUCUCAAACUUGGAUUUUUCUCCACAACUCAACCCUAACUUCCUUUCUAUUUGUACCAAGGCUAGAGAAUAUAGUUUAUACUUGUAUUCCUUCAUGUACCAAGCCCACAAGAUGAUCAAUAAGUUUCUCUCUAGAUUUUACAUUGGAGUUGAUUGAUGAUAGUACCCUUAUUAGGUAGUAUAUUAUCUUCCUUAGGUACUGCUUUUUCCAUCCUUAGAUACUACCUUUGUAACCUUGGGUGCAUGAUUGAAUCCAUUGUUUCAUGGCUACUUCAAGUAAGUCAGGAACUUAUGUACAUGUGUGCUACAUGUCUUAUAGAUACUAAAUUUACAUUCUUUAGGUACUACCUUUACCUUCCAUGGGUACAAAUACGGUUAAUGAUAAGAAUUUUAAUAUAAAAAAGGGAAAAACCCUGCUUGAUAAUAAAAUUGCAUAUAUUUUCUUUCUUUCUUUCCUUUUUGAUUGAUUUUUUUUUUUUUUGGUCUUUGCUUUGGUUUUUAUUUAUGUCUUUGUUUCUUUUAGUCUUUGUGUGUGUGUGUUUUAUUUUAUCUUAUUUUCAUCUCUAUGCAGAAGAUGUAGAAGAAACAACAUCACAUCAUAAGGUGCAUUUUUCCGUUCAUUUAAGACUAAAGGUUUUGGAUUCACAAAAUGGUGGGAACUAAGGGUGAGAAGCUGGAAAAAUGUUGGAUUGAGCUACAUUUGAUCAAUGGUGAAUUUGCAAAAAAGAUUGUAGGAGAGUGUAGACCCUCAAUUUUGUCCCUUUAGCACAUGUUUUAAAGUCCAUUACCAAUACUUUACAGUAAUCUCUUGGUAGCCCAUAGCUACUCACGCUACUUACCUUUCUUGAGCCACCUCGGAGACUCUAGUUGAGGGAUUGCCUAACCCCUUAUUGUGACCCUUGGCAGUUUUGAUUUAGACUUAAGGUUUUCAUUCCUUCUUAGGAUAGCUCUUAGGUGCACUUUUAGGUCCACUUAGGCAUCACCCUUGGCUAAUUUAGACAUUUUGGGCCCGUUUAGACACCUUAAACUCGCCUAGAUUCACCUUAGACCCGCUUAAGCACUUCAUUGGGGCUCAACAUUUUUAUAUAAUCUCUUGAUCAUUAUUGCAUGCAUUUGAUGAUUAUAUUUUCUUUGUUUAUUCAUUUAUUUGUUUGUUUAUUUAUUCAUCCAUUUAUUUAUUCAUUUUUUAAUUUCUAUUACGUCUUGUUUUUUUUUUUCUUUCUUUCUUUCAUUUAUUUACCUACUUAAUAGAGAAUUGUUUAGAUAUUAAAUAUGCAUACAACCCCCUUAUUGAAUGAUGGAAUUGUACAAUCUGAUAUCUCAUUUUCUCUUUCAUUUUCUUUUAAUCGUAUUUCACUUUAUUACCAAUUUCAUGACUUUCAUUAGUUGCUUCUCUUUUCCUUUGAUUUUUUAAUCUUAUCUUAUUUUGUUUUGCAUAAGGAGCACCAUCUUGGGGAGUACAAGAGGAUCUACAUUACUGGUUUGAUCAACAUAUGUUUGAGACUAAAAGCCUUCAAGAUGGCAAAAGAUGGUCAUCACAGCCCCAUGCUUCUUCUUCCCAUCUCUCAUAAUUGAAGCCUCUGUACAAAACUUCAUCAUAUCCUGAACAAUAGCAGCCACAGCAGUUGCAGCCACAGCAGCUGCAGCCACAGCAACUGCAGCCACAACAGCUGCAGCCACAGCAGCUGCAGCGACAGCGGCAACCACAGUUAAUGCUGCAACAGCAGCCACAGCAGCAUAGACUGCAUCAUCCAGUUCAACCUUCAUUUGGUCAUUUAUCAGGGUUGCAGCCCCAACUAUUUAAUCCCCAUCUUUCCCCAGCUCCACUCAUCAUGAACAAAUAUGAAGCAAUGCUUGGGAUAGGUAAUCUGAGGGAUCAAAGACCCAAGUCAAUGCAAAAAGGUAGACCAAAUCAUCGGGUUUCUCAACAGGGCUUGGAUACUAGCAGUCGGAAGAGUGAUGUUGGUGGCCACAGUUCAGAUCCAAGUAUAUGACAGCUGAUGAAAUCGAAAGUAUCCUUAGAAUGCAACGUUGCGGAACAGAUGGAUGAGUAGAAAGGAAAAUAGCAUGAAAAUAGAAAGGAAGUGACCACUUUGUGCACAACACGCAUAUAGUGGGCUGUAAGGGGGAUUCUUUUUUGUUUAGAAAGAAAAGUCAACUUGUAUCACUUACUAAACGAGAUGUGGCUGCAUCCUUGAGGGAAUCUCCCAAUGAGCCACCAUGUAUGCACUUUCCUUAUCCAUGUGCAUUGAAAAAGGAUAUAGAAUAUUCAAUAGAGGAAAGGUGCUGCCAUAUAGAAGGAAGGUGCUGCCAUAUAAACAUGUCACAGAGAGAACACACGGUGGACUUUUCUUUUGGGAGCAGAAAUUCACAUACAAAAAGUAAUCUUUUUUAGAGGAGAUGAACACACGCAAGAGUUUUUUUUUGGGAGCGGUAGAGGACCUGAACGACUAAUUGGGCUGCCAUUUUGACACAUCAAGAAAGUAUUUUUCCAAUACAAUACAGGUUAGUUUUCGAUUUUUGAUACCGUAUUUCCUUUUUUUUUUAGUUUGGGUUUUAGUUGUUUGGUUUAAUUAAUUGUUUGUGAUAAAUUCUUUUAAAUCUCGAUUUCGAACAAUCUUUUAUUUUUCUUAUAUUAAAUGUCUAUCUUUUAUGAUUGCAAUUCAUUAGUUCUAUGCUAGUUUAUUUUUAAUUUACAUGAAAGUUUAAAUAAAGUUUAUAUUUUUAAUUCCAAUUAGUUUAUUUUUAAAUUUGAAUGAGUUAUCGAUCUUAAUUAUUUAGUUUAAUUGACCUUGUGAGAUAAAAUUUAUAUUUUUAAUUCUAAUUAGUUUAAUUUUAGUUUAUUUUUAAUUUGAAUGAGUUAUCGAUCUUAAUUCUUUAGUUUAAUCGACCUUGUGAGAUAAAAUUUAUAUUUUUAAUUCCAAUUAGUUUAAUUUUAGUUUAUUUUUAAUUUGAAUGAGUUAUCGAUUUUAAUUCUUUGGUUUAAUUGUCCUUGUGAGAUAAAAUUUAUAUUUUUAAUUCCAAUUAGUUUAAUUUUAGUUUAUUUUUAAUUUGAAUGAGUUAUUGAUCUUAAAUCUAUUAGUUUAAUUGGACUUGUAAGGUAAAGUUUAUAUUUUUAAUUCCGAUUAGUUUAAUUUUAGUUUAUUUUUAAUUUGAAUGAGUUAUUGAUCUUAAAUCUAUUAGUUUAAUUGGACUUGUAAGGUAAAAUUUAUAUUUUUAAUUCUAAUUAGUUUAAUUUUAGUUUAUUUUUAAUUCGAAUGAGUCAUUGAUCUUAAUCUAUUAGUUUAAUUGGUCUUGUAAGGUAAAGUUUAUAUUUUUAAUUCCGAUUAGUUUAAAUUCUAGUUUAUUUUUAAUUUGAAUGUGUUAUCGAUCUUAAUUCUUUAGUUUAAUCGAUCUUGUGAGGUAAAGUUUACAUUUUUAAUUCCAAUUAGUCUAAUUCUAGUUAUUCAUGUGUUUCUUGAAAUCUAAAUGUUAGUUUUUGAAUGAUAAUUUUGUUAGUUUGUUUGAUUAGGAAGUCAUAAAUUUGUUGUCUUAGUGAUUGUUGGUCAAUUUUUUUUUAGGACCACUGGAAACCCAUGAAGGUUGGCCUUUACUCUCACCACUUUAAUUGAUAAGAUUUUCUAAAAUCUUUAUUUCGUGAUCUUUGUUUCCUUUUGUUUUGAUUGAUAUUUUGUUUUCUAUUUUUGUUAUUUUAAAAAUUAAUUUCUUUUAUUUUAAAACAAAACUCUUUUUCUCAAAAAAACCCUUUUUAAAAUUUUUUUUUUAUUAUUCAUUUAAAGCCUCUAGAAUCAAAAUCUAUUUUCUUUUUUAAAAAAUAACAUGCAACCAUAUCUUAAUCAGUUUGCAUCCUUCUCAAUUUUCAACAAAAAUAUCCUUCUCAAUUUUCAACAAAAAUUUUGGUUUUAAACAAAACGCGAAUCAAAGCUUGUGGUCCCAAAUAAAUGGAACAAUUUUAGGCUAAAUUCAUGUAUAUUAAUUUGGGGAAUUGGUGAAACCCCUACAUAAGAAAAUCUUUUCAAAAUUUACUUUUGCUACCACCCUACUAUUUAUCAUAAUCAUAUUUACUUUUUUUCUUUUUAGGAAUUGUAUACAAGAUAUGUAUGAUAAUUAAUUAUUCCGAGUUCUGAUAAUUUUUGCUAAUUAAUUAGAUAAGCAUGCUAGGAUUUAUUAUUUAUUAUCUAUUAUCUAUUAUCUAACCCUCAUGUUCUGAGGAAGUGCAUUAGGAGUUAUAUAUGCUAUCCAGGUACGUUCCCAAAAUCUCAUGAAUAUGCAUGUCAUUACCCUUGUUUGAUGCCAUACUUGAUUGCCUCGAUGCUUGUUUGAUCAUCCUUGAUAAAAUGCAUGUCGUGUGUCAUAUUUCUGAAUUAACCAUUGAUGUUUAAUGAUAGUGCUUAAGAAGUGGUUCAGGUACGCACCCUAACUCUCCUUUAUUGUGAUUGAUCUCCUUAUUUAGCAUGCUACUUUCUGAAAAUCACCUAGCUUACUUAAGUAUCCAUAAUUAAUCAAUUAAUUGCCUCAUUUCCCCAAUUUAGUCAGUAAAGACCUCUUUAGGGCUUAGAAGGGUGCUACCUCCUAGAGGUACCUUCCCAAUAAGUAACCUGAUCCCCGGACCUAGACUCGGGUUUUUCAAAGACAUGUUUUUUUCAAAAAUUAUGGAGUCACAUUUUAGGGUUUUUCUUUCUUGUUUUAUUUUCCCUUUAAAAUAAAAAUAAAAUAAGUGGCGGCUCCAACUUUUCCAAAACUAAAUAAUUUUUCACAAAUAAAAAAAGAGUCUCGCCAAUCGAGUGGGGACGCAUGUGAAAAAUGCAGGUCCACAGAGAGGUUUCUUGAGGUGGACAAGGUCAGAAGCAAAGAGCCUUUCCCUACUUUUUGGGGUUGGUUCCUUGAGUUCUUAGGAAGAACUUAGUUAACGUGUGAAUUCAUUCAGGGUAAUUUAUGUAAGAUUUUCUAGAUUUUGCAAGUGAAUGCACCUUAGCUUUUCCUAUUGUAUUUGUGUUUUUUUAGGUUGAUUAUUUUAUUGAUUGUCACCACUCAAGGAAUGGAAGCAAUAGGGUCUCUAGAUGUAGUGCCUAAAGGCAAGCAUACAGGCGUUGUUAGGAGUGUGCUUCCCAUGUCCAACAAGCAUAUUGACACCACCCAAAGCCAAGGCAUCUUUGGACUAGGAGUUCUAGCUUCUACUUAUGUGGACUUUGUAGAUGCAGUCUGGCUCUUCGAAAUAUUUAUUGUUAUGUAGUAGUUAUACACAUGUACUUUGUUUAAGUGAAUUGAUUUUUGGAUUUUUACUUAAAUCAAAUUUAAGGGUAUGUUGUUUAAUUUACUAGAGAUCUCUUGUUUGUAAUUCUCGUUAUCAUAUAUAGAUCUUUGUUAGUAUUUGCCAAUUUCCUCAAUAGCAACUGUAUUAGUUAUCAAUGGAAUGAAUCUUGAGUAACUUGUAGUAUCAUUUUUGGUUUUGAAUUGGCUAAUCUUUUUUGGAAGAAUGAAUUAGAUAUAUGAGCUUGAUUGCAAGCAAUAGUUGAGUUUGUUUUGAUCUUGGGGUAUUUGCCUUAUUGAUAGGACAUAGAUUUUGGGUCCAAAUAGUUGGAAAUUGAUGAGCUUAACCAGGACAUAGAUUUUAUCCCCUUGGGAGAACCACAACACUAACCAGUGUUCCUACAAAAGCUAAUAACCAUGAUUUAGAAAUGUGAUUUCCCUAAAGGGAAGCAUUUCUAAUCUUAUUUGAAGGGAAACUUUGAUGUCUUCCUUAAUACACUAGAAUAUUAAUUUAAAAACAACAAUUAAGGUUAUAUUAACUAUUAUAAUAAUUUAUAAAUUACAUAAAUAUGAUAAUAACUAUUAAAAUAAAAGUAUUAAACAUAAAAAUGUUUAAUUCUGUUGGGUAAAAACUUCAUAAAUAUUUUAUUAUUGAACUUCUAUCAUAUGAUCAAACAUAGUGAUGAUCCUUAGUUGGAUUAAUUAACACUUGUUUCAUAAAUUGAACAACAUAUAACAUGAUCAAUAAACAAACAAGUAAACAUCAUACUAGAUAAAACUAUCUCUUAAGAUUUCAAUUAUUACAUGUUUAAAUUACAAAUCAUAUUUUUGCAACUUUCGUAAAGUUAUGCAAUAGAUAUAAUUAAAAUUAUGAAACAUUGAAAAUGUAUAUUGAUUCAUUAUUCAAAUUCAUCAUAUCAUAUAUAUACUUUAGUUGUCCAUAAGAUCAAAUAAUAACCAAAAUUCGAAAAAUAUGUUUUAUGAUCCAAAAUUGAUUGACACUAAUAUCAAUUGUUACAUAAACUUUAUGUGAAAUAAUUAUUUUGGAAAAUCAAUUUGGAUGCAUAAAGCAUAAUAGUUAUAAGAAAUAAAGAAAUGACAAAAUAAUAAUUAUAUUUUUGUCUUAAUCCAUGAUACCGAUAACACUUUUAAAGUGAGUUCGAGUCACUUUGUGAAUUGUUGGGUCAAGGUAUUCAACUCAUCAUUCUCAUUUAGUAGAUGAGACAAUUGUGUGGUAUAUGUUGUUAUAAGCAAAACAACUAAAAACAUAAGAAUACAAUACAACUUAGGACCUUAACUUUAAAAAAAGAUUUAUAACUCUUAAUCUUCUCAUAAAAGAUUAUAUGAGAGUUAUACUCAUUAUUUUUAAACAUUAUAUAUAAAUUAAUGGACAAUAGUAAACUACCAACUUGAAUACAUUCAUGUAAUUAUAUAAAUUACACUUUUUCAUCUUCCUCUAUUAGUCAUAAACUUUAUAUAUAAAUUAAAUCUCAUAAUGAUGGAGUUACAAAAGUUGUAAUACCAUAUUCGUAUAAAUGAAAAUUUUCUAACUCCAUAUUUAUAAUUUUAAUUUUCUAUGUUAGAAGUUGAAUUUGUUCCACAUCGCCAAGUUACCGGGUUAUUAUGUUGUUUAUAUAUGUGGAUUGGGCACCCUCUCCCUUUAAGCAAGCUUUUAGGGAUGAAUUAUAUUCAAACCCAUUUAACAUGGUAUCAGAGCUUGGUUUGACUGGGGGUCGUGGGUUCAAGCCACCUCUUCGCAAUUCGUAUGUUUGUUCCUCAUUUGCAUGUUUGAAAGUCUAGAAAAGGGUAUUUGCAUUUGUUUGUUUGUCCCUUCACGUGUGGAUAUGGGGCCACACAUAAGAUAUGGUGUUAAAAAGCAUGAAAUGUAUAUUGAACCCAAAUCUUAUAAGUUUAAGCUUUUAGGAAAAUUAGUAAUUCAACAUUCUAUACAUAAAAUUAUUUGAUGUCCAAUCAAUUGAUUCACCUACCUAUCAAUUAAUAUACUUUUAAAUAAAAUAUAUUUCAAUCCAUUACACAAAUAUAAUUAAAACAAAGUACUAUAAUAAUAUGAGUAUGUGACAAAUAAAUAAAAUAAAAAUAAUCACAUGUUACAUGUAAACUAUAUUCAAAGGAAAAACCACAAGUCAUCCCCACUAUUAAACAAUCCAUUGUAUAAUGAUCAAUUACAAAGACCAAGUAUUACCAAACUUAAAAGUAUCUAAAUCAUACUCACUUUGCACAUUUUCUUUAUACUUGGAUCCUUUAAACUCAUUUAUCCCAAUGUGGAAGCAUCUUGAGUUCUAAUCAAGGAAAUCAACCUUUACUUCAUCAAGUUAAAGUCUCUUUAUAUCAUUGACAACCAUAUCAAGAUUUCUUUUGUUGGUUGCUUUCAAAGUCCCACUAGAAUUAGAUUGAAAUUUUUAUAAUCUCUAGAACUUUAACAUAUUAAUUCUUCAAUGAGUCAAUCAAAUAUUAAGUUUUAUCUCCAUAGAUGGACCUCAAUGAAUUUUUCGACAAAGGUGUUAACACUAAUUUCAUAUUAGUAAAAAAAAAUCAUGUGACACAUAUUGAUAUAUAUAUAUAUAUACUAAUUUCAUAUUCAUAGAUUGAAUUCAUGAGAAAAUUAUUCUUAAUUUUGUAAAAAUUAUAUAUAUAAGAAAGUUUUUAGGCUUACUAAAACACAUUACUAACCAAGUGGCAAUAUAUUUAUAAUUUAGGUCUCAUUAUUUUGUAAUCAAGUUUCAUUCAUUUGUAUCAUAUAUGAGUCCUAUUAUGUCAUACCUUACUCUUAUUACAUUGUACUUUGAUCUUAUUUGUUUAAACAUCGAUUUCAUUUCUUUAUAUGUACAUCACAUUUAUUUAUAUCUCAAUCUUAAUUAUUUGUAUCUUUAUUUAACAGUUUAGAUUUCAUUACAUAUUUUUAAAAUUUUAAUUUGAAAUUCGAUAUCUUAGUAUUUUUCUAAAAUAGCUACCUAUAAUCCUUGUAGAGUACUCAAAAUUCACUCCAACCCAUAAAAAAAAAUGACCUCUCUUCGUAAGUUGCUAUACUCAUUGCUAAACUAUAAUUCCAAAAUUAGCAGAACUUUUCAUACUUAUUCUAGGCAAUUAGAGUUGAGAUGUUCCGGGCAUAUACCAUAUUCUUUCAAGAUUUGAAAGAAAUGUUACGAUUUCAGCAUUAAAUAAUGCAUGUCGAUUAACAAUAUUGCUCAGAUUCUUUAGGCAAAGGUCCACAGACAAAAAAAUUAUUUAUUUAUUUUCUGAACCACCCCUGAAAUUGACACCUCCCAUACAGUCUGAUCUGCAUUUCUGUGGCACUAUUUCCCUUAUUCCUAACCAUAAAUCUGCUGCCAUCUCAAUAAUUCACAUCCUUAUCCACUCCUUAUCUAGGGUUGUAACACUUUUUUCAAAAAGAUUUUUUUUUUUUUUUUUCGAAGGGGUGGAUAAGGGUCCUGAGACAAGCUGUGGUAUAAUUAUAAACCCACUUGGGUAAUGGUUUCAUUGUCAGGGUAAUUCUAUUUAAGGUGAAAAUCAGCUGGGUCUAUCAUUCUUGUUUCCAUGUGACUGUUUCCAAGGAGAACUCAACCCUCAAAUCCAUCGAGCAGUCAUAUAAAAAUACACGCAGAUUUCAUAUCUUGAAGCUUGUCCUGUGUUCAGAUCGGAUAACUCACUCAUAUGCCUAAUCACUAAUCGCCAACUUGAGUGUAAAAAAAGCGUGGGGCGAUAUUAUUUGUAUAUGGGUUUGACUGUUUGAGAGAGAAAGGUGGGGUGUCCCUUGGAGGAGUCCAAAGGCCAUUUUUGAACCUGCCUUUGAUUAUCGCCAUGGCAAAUCAACAGCUUGUAGUAUAUAUAUAUUAAUGGAGACCAAGACUCAAAUAGAGAGAGAGACGCGGGGAUGCGAUAAAGAGAACAGUAUAGCCAAGAGUAUAUAAGCAUUUCUCUUGCUGUAAUGGUGAUUCAGAGACUGGAAAUGUGUAUAUCACUGCUGAAAAUGGCAGUAGAGUUUGUGCUUGUUUUCGCGGAGGCAGUCGGGCUAGUCAUCAACCACAAUGCCACGCCGCUUUUGGCAAACUCAGCCUCAGUUGGCAAUGAUGUUUCUGUCCCUUUUAUCGGUUUUCUUCUUUGAAUUCUUCGUCUUGUAGUUUCCUUCCUUACCAGAAUGCUCAUUGGCCAUUGUAUAUGUUGAGGGUUCUUUUUUGCCUUGAUAGAUUUUCUAAAGGAUGUGCAUGUUUGAUAGGAGAGAGUAUAUAUACACAUCUAUGUAAACUUUGAUUAAAUUUUGUUCUGGGUGAGCUUCAUUUUCUGCAAAUUCAUUUGCUGAUAGCUUUGGAAACGAAUCUUCAGUUGUUUGGGUGCUGAUUAUUUGCUUGCUUCACACGAUUUUAUGUGCUGUUCCUUUGGUAAUAAUCUUGUUGGGUGGAUCAAGGAGAAGAGCGAAGAUCUGAGGGAAAAUAGAGUCUGGAGAAAGAAAAGAUGUAAUGAUGAUUAAGAAAGGCUUUAAUAUACUUGCAAGAUCAGGAAAAAAUAUUUCUUGGGUAUCAAUUAUUUUCUUGCUUGAUAUGGGUUUGAUACUCUUUUUCAAUUGGUGAUCAUUCUGGGAAGAUCAAGAAGAAGAAAAUGGGGUCUAGAUGAAGAAAAGCUAUAAUGGCGAUUAUUAAGUGGAAUCAGAUGAAAUAAAAGUCUGUUUCCAUCAUUCUUAAUAUGGUUUCUUUUGUCAAAAAUGGAAGAUGACUUGAUUUUCAUAGUCCCAGCAGGACUUUAGUACUCAUCAAACUCAUAAAUUUUGAACAACUUUGAGCUAACCUUCUGCAUUAAUUUGGUGCAUCUGCGCAGUUGCAGAGUAUGAACACCCACAAAAUCUUAAUAUGAAUCUUUUGGGGCAAUAGCUUCUAUAUAUGAUGGAUGAUAAGAACAAAGCAAAUCUUGGGUUCUCCAUGGGCACGAUCAUUUAUCCGCCAUAUAAAAUGCAGAUUUUCCUAACACCAACCCCUUAUUUUAAUAAAGUCAAGUUAUUUUAAGGCCCCCAAUAUUAGACAUGCCUUAGAAUCAUUGGGUCUGUGAUUAAAAAUGUAGUAAUAUCAUUUAAAAUACCUAACACUGAAAUUUUGAUAAUUUUGAAUGCCAUAGUGUGGAUUUGAAGAAAGAAAUCGCAUCCAAGAUCUCUUCCUUUUCCUGGGAAACAUUAGUCUUGGUCAAUUAUGAACUGUUACACGUUGCCUAUCAUGGUCAUAUUUAUAUUAGCUUUGAUUUCUAUGGGGGAUAUAAUUUAUUUGUAUGCUAAUCAUAGAGGUGAUACAUGUGAUCCACAUGUCAUAUUUGGACUUGGAAGCAAUCAUUGGAUUCCUUUGAUGAACUGGCAAUGGAAGAAUACUAAUUGCUCCGGUCCCUUUCUUUUUUCAAAGUAGGAUGAUCAGGUCCUUUGAUCCCUUCGACUCCCUCUGGCUGUUUUUCUUUGUUCUUUUUUCAAUCAUCCAUAGCUUAAAAUUAAAGCCUUGAUGCCCUCCUCGACUUUCCCAAGAUAAAACACCUUAUCUUCACUUUAUUUCUCUUCCCUUUAAAUUUGAUUUUAGAUCUGAAAUCCAGGGCUUAUGACCCUGUAGAAGAAAGACAGAUAUGAAGCUUGGGAUGAUUUGAACUUCAGUUUGAUUUUCUGCACACUCUGUUAAAACUCCUGAAAUAUAGUUGUAUAUUGCAAUACAUUUAAUUGUUUGAUACAUCUGAACUAUGAUGUUCUAUUAGUAAAAAUUUCUUUGAAUCAAUCCACGGCUCAAAGUACCAAUUUCUAUUGAAACUUUUUUUCUUUUCCUGCUCAUUCAAUUGUUUCAUUUUCCACAUAAUGGUAUGACAACAUCAAGAAUACUUCUCAGCAAUUGCCUGCAGGUGAACCCAAAGCUCUUUUGGCUUAGAGAUCAUGACCAUGUGAUCAGAUCCUUUAAUCUCUUUAACAGCAUCAGGUGGGUUUUUUUCAAUCAUCCAGAGUUGAAAAUCCCUUUUCCCCAGCUUGUCUUCCUCUGAAAUAAUAAAGACACGUUUAACCGAGGCAUAUUUCUUCGACAACAUGAGCUCAUUUGACAUGUCUUCUUCAAUGAACAAGCGUACGGGUCUCAUCAACACAGUCCCUAGUGCCAAGUCCUGGAAUAUUUGUGCCCGAAAUGAUAUGACAACAACAAUGAAGGUCUCAUGAUUUUGGUUGUAAGGCCUUAAUAAAUGGAGUUCUCACCUCAGUUGGGCUCAACUGAUACACAUUCAGUGAUAAGAACAAGGGGCCAAAGCUGAAAGUGGUGGGAGGAUUGUUGGGGCCAUUAUCAUAUGUGAACUGGCUGUCUAGUAGAGGACCUUGUCUCCUGAGUGACUUCAAUAAGAAGUAGAAACCAGGCUAAAAGUCAGAAACAGGGGAAGCCUUCCCCUCUUAAUCAGCAAGUAAAUUUCUGUAAAAGAAAAAUAGUAUGUAUGAAGUACCUCUUGAUUGAGAGUGGAAAUGUUGAGAGUGGGACCAGGCAUUGAGGCAGUAACAAAAACAGCUACAGAAACCUUUUCUGGGAACUUCUCCAUGGCCUGAGAAAUGGCCAAUCCACCCAAGCUGUGUCCAACGAGAACCACCCUCUCAUCUGCAGGGAGUGACUCCACGAAGUCCCUCAGUGGCUGGAAAUACCAAGAAAUUGAUCGCAGAUCACCCACUUGUUUUGGGUUAAUUCCAGAAGCAGCCAAGUCCAGAGCAGUAACUUUGUGGCCAGAUGAUUUUAGUAGUGCCACAAUCUUGUACCAAGACCAGGCACCAUGGCAAGACCCAUGAACUAGAACAAAGUGCUUGACGGGAUUAGCCUGUCUCCCCUCUGAUGCCAUUGGAUACACUGAAGAAACAAGAAAAAUCAGAAAGGAAACAAAAAUCAUAUGCUUCUUCCUUGCUUCCAUACUCCUUUCCUGUUACAGAGAUGGUCAGCACCCCAGCAUUUUAAAGGGCACAAUUGGGUAGGUUUUCACUACAACUACUAAUCUAAUUGAUUAAAAAUUUUCCCGUGAAAUUGACUCUAGAAAUAAAAUAAGGACUAAGGAUUCAAGAACACGUACACUUUGACUGCCAGAGUUUAUGUCUUUUCAUAGAUGACACAUGCACCUGCGUCACACUCUUUUUCAAUGAUAAAGAAGUUAUGCAAAGGAAGAAAGAAUGAAAUAUACAGAGUCAAGUAGUUAACUCCUCCCCUUGAAUUCUUCUCUUGCCCGGAUUGGUUUGUAACUGCAAACAUUUUCUUUUCCCAAUGUGAUCUGUGGAUUGAGUUCUGAUCUCAAUUUGUUUUUGGCAUUUUUGGUUUUGCUUCUGCAAAUCUUGAGAUGUAUCUUUCAAUUAAUAUAAGUUGUGCAGUUAAGGUUUUUGGACAUAUAAAAUGUUAGCCAAACCUUUCCCGUGGCAGGUUGAAGGUACUUUGGGGUAGGCUUGGUCAUGCUUGAUACCUCAGUCUGACUCAAACAUGAUGUUUUCACCCAUUUGAAUUGAUCAAAGUUGUGUUGACUGGCAUGAUUCCUUUAAUAAAGAAGUUGUUUUAGGAUUAAGGCGUACAACACAAAUUUGACUUAAGUAGAUCUAUUUAAUUAUUGUGUAUUAACAUAAUUAUAAUCAAUUGAGUCGAAAAUGAAUUAAAUUAAAAAGUUAAUUUUAUUGAUUUAAAUAAGACCUAAUUCAACCUGAUUAUUAAAUUACUCAACUUAUUAUAUGAUUUGAACACUGCCCACCAACAUUAAUUGUAACCCGUGCUUUGAGUUCAGGUGGCAGCAAGAGUUUGGCCUUUGUUUUGAGUGUUGGAUGAAUGUUGGAUUAACCUUUCCCAUGGCUGUCAAAUUCCUCAUAAAUUAUUGGUGAUUGUAAUAAUUUCCUCAAAAAGUAAUGGUGCUAUAUGCUUCUUUAGGAUCCAUUGAUCUUAAUAAUUCUCUUCCUGGUAUAGGAAGAAAGUGACUAUUCCAUUACUGCAGCUUUCAUUGCUGCUUAUUUAUCAAGCAAAUUACAUUAUUAUUUUCACACCAAAUCUCCAAAUUCACCAUGUACUUAUCCUAUAUACUGCAUGGUGAACUUCAGAGAGCUAAAACAAGCUCUUAUUGAAUACAUGAUAGAUGAUGUCCCACUGACCCUUUUACUCUGAUACCUUGAAAUGAGAAAUUUGGAGGUUUUCCACAUCAAGCUUCUUGAAAUUACUGCGCCUUCUCGCAGCAAAGAACUUUCCCCAGUUGUAUGCUCUGUACUUUGGCUUUUCUCCCUUCGUCAGCUCCUCCAAGGGCUUCACCCAAACAUGGUGCCCGGGACUGAAAAAGACCGGAAUUGAGAACCUUUCCCUCUCUGAAUUCACCGUCACCCUGUGCUCGACACUUUCAUAAGUAUCGUUGCUCCAGACCUGGUUUAAUAUCAGUAUAAUUAGCCAAAAGGGUGCAAAAUUUCUUGAUCCCAACAGUACUGAUAAGCAUGUACUUAUAAUUCAAAGUUCUUGGGUGGUACCUGAAUUAUAUCCCCAACAUUGAUGAUAAAAGCAUCUGGGGUGGGCUUAACUCGAACCCAUUCUCCAUUGGUUUUUCGCUUUACUUCCAACCCUCCAACAUCAUCCUGGGCAAGGAUGGUUAAGGCUCUGGAAUCCUUGUGGCGACCAACGCCCAAAGCUAGGUGAGGGAUGGGGCAAGGUGGGUAGUGAUUGAGGCGGAUGAAGUUUGUUGAUUCUUCAAAGAGAAUAUUGAAUCUGUUUUCUGGCAAACCUAAGCUUAGUGAGAUGAGUCCUAACAGCUUGAAAGCUAGUUUUCCCAUUUCUCUAGCAUAUUCUUCACAUACCUCCCUGUAUUAAUCAGUUCAAUUAGAACAAAAAAAAAAAAGUAAUUCACUGUAGUGACUGUGCCUUAACUGGUGAAACUUGUACCUUAAUUCAGGAGGGUACUGAGGCCACUGAUUGGUCAGCUCUUUGAGCUCCUUGUCGUCAGGAUCAGGCGAAGCAGGGAUGAAGGCGGGGGUAGGCACCACGAAAUCAAAGACUUCCUUCCAGUCCCUAACGUUCUUGGUAUGCUCAGUAUCAAAGUACCCCAAAGGAUUCACCUCAUCUCUACUCACCUUCCUCUUCUCCUCCAGUGGGAGAGCGAAGAACUUCCUCGCGGCAUCCUCAAUUUUACGACGAGACUCCGAGGGCACCCCAUGGUUGAUGACUUGAAAGAAGCCCCAGUUCUUGCAUGCAUCAGCUAUUUGAGAAACAUGGUUGGAAGCAUUGGCGGAAGAGAGAUCAAUGAGGGGGAUGCCUUCAGCUUCGAUAACAGCGAGCUCAGGCCUGUGUUGGGUGUCUUGGAUGAAGGCUGGAUCGACCUCUCCCAUGGCUGUGGUAGUGGUUAGAACUUAGAACUCAGAAAUGGUGGUUAUGCACUGCUAGUGUUAGCUGCAGGUGAAGAUGGUGACGGGGAUUUGGCCACUUGGCAGGUGGUUUAGUACAUUGAACCUGGACAUAAAUUGGGUUACGUUUUAAGUUUUGGUUGGGGGUGUGAGCUCACGGGUUGCGCAUAUGUUAAUGAUAAUUGUUCAAGUGAUUUUACCGACAUAAAACAAAAUCUGCCGCCCCAAAGGAAUCUCUCUCAAUGAUUUUACCGACAGCACUCUCCACAUUCAAAUGUUUCAUCCGUAUUUGAAUUGGAGUCUAAUACUCUCAUUGUUUAAUUAACUCCAGCUUGAUUAAUGAAUCCAGUGGUGUCGUGUAUAUUUUCGAAUUCUCUGCUUUAUAUUUAAACCUUCUUGGUUUUUAUGUUCUCAUCCAAUGGUUUAAAACCCAAAAACGAUGCAAAGAGAAAAAGAGAAAAAAAAAAAUAUACAACACAAUUGGAAUUAAAAUAUAUGUAAUAAAAAAAAUAAAAACUAAUUCAUUUUGAGUUUUAUUUUUCAAAAUAAUAACUCUAAUAUAAUAACUAAAUAAAUAAACAUAUAGUAAUUAAAUACAUAAUAACUAAAUAUAUUAAUGUCUUCUCAUAAUUGAGACUUUACAACAUAUACUCAAUUUUUAAACAAUUCUAAAAAAAUAAGUGAAAAUAAUUAAAAAUACUUAAAAUAUGUUACCAACAAAUACCUUAUUGUCCUAACAAAUCUCAAAAACCUUAUUUAGGACCAAUUGAAAAUCAAAAAAAAAUUCAUAUUUCUUUACUCUUGAAAAAAAAAAAUGGUUCUUGAUGACAGUCUCAAACAUAUCCUCCCAUUUGGUUAUUUUAUUGUAUAAGUUUUUCAAUAAAAUAAAAUAAUUAAUGAUAGUGUUUGUAAGGAAAAAUCAAAAUAUCAUACAAAAUUAAUACACAUCUUUUUAUUAUUCAAUAUUUCUAUAUCAUAUUUACAUUUUUUUUUAUAAAAAAAUUAUAUAUAUACAAUGUUUUAAAAACCGGAUCGGAUCGGCCGAUCCAACCGAUGACCGGUCACAUUUUCGGUCCGAUCCACUCUAUUAAACCGUUUAACUAUUGGAUCGGUUACGAACCGCCUAAACCAACGGUCAAACUGGUGAACCGAACAGUCCAUAUUGGCCCAUCAUUUUGCAAGUCCAUUGUAUAAAAAAUUAAAAGUUGUAGGCCAAAAACCAUACUAGGCCAUGUCUUAACAUGACAAAGCCCGCACCCAAACCAUUUAAGUAGGCUCAGUUUUGAGCCCACAAGGUGGGCAUGCUGUUGCUUUCAAUGAGGAUACUUUUUAUAGGCAUCCUUUGCACCCUUAUUUCUCUCACAAUCCGAUGUGGGAUUGCAAACUAAUAUGAUAAUAUCAAUGAAAAAAAUUUAACAAAUGCAACAAGAGGGAGGAUUUGAAGUGGGACCUCAGGUUUUGUAAAUAAACUAGGACACCACUCGGCUACUUAUUUGAUAUGCCAAACAAAACAAUAUAUGUUGGAUUUUAAUUUUUUUUUAAUAUUAAAUAAAAAUAAUAUAAUAUUUUUAAAAAUUAUAAAAUUAGUUAAAUUUUUCAUUUUGAAUAUAUUCACAUUUAAAUAUUGUACACAUUUCAUUUAAUAUGAUUUAAUUUGAUAAUAUCAAAUAUAUAAAAUAAUAUUAUUGAUUUUUAAUUUAUUCAUAUAUAUUUUAAAAUUUUUAUAAUUAUUUUUAAUUUUAAUAAUAUAUAAAUUACAUAUUUAUGACGUCAUCGGUUCGACCGCGGUUCGACCAUCGAUUCGACCGCGGUUUGAUCGGUAAACCGUGAACCGGUAACUUUUUCGAUUCAAUGACCCAUCCGGUUCUGAAAACAUUGUAUAUAUACAUAAUUUUAUCAUUUUUUUAAGUUAUAUUUAAAAUUUUCAUAUAUUUAAUCAAUUUACUAAUAUCAAUAUUUCCUUACAUAUUUUAAUAGUCGUAACCAUACAAAAGAUUGUCAAAUUAAAGGAAACAACACAUGAAAUGAGGAUGUGGAAAAAAAAAACACGAUAACAACGAAAUCAUGAUUUGUUUUUUAUUAUUCAAUAUUAUUAUAUCAUAUUUACAUUUUUUUUAUAAAAAAAUUAUAUAUAUACAUAAUUUUAUCAUUUUUUUUAAGUUAUAUCUAAAGUUUUCAUAUAUUUAAUCAAUUUACCGAUAUCAAUAUUUCCUUACAUAUUUUAAUAGUCGUAACCAUACAAAAGAUUGUCAAAUUAAAGGAAACAACACAUGAAAUGAGGAUGUGGAAAAAAAAAACACAAUAACGACGAAAUCAUGAUUUGUUUAAGGCGAAGGAAAUAAUAGUGAGAUAGACAAAGCUUAUAAUAACAAAGUACUGACAUUAUUAAUAUGUGGAAUUUGGUUUUCAGUUUUUUUUUAGAUUUUUAUAUAUUAUAUCUAUAAAUCUUAAUUCAAAUCUAAGUAAUACUUAAUAGAACUAUGAUGUUUGUUUUUUUUUUUUUUUUGUUUCUUUUAUCUAAAUCUUAAAGCAAUUUGCUUAAAAAUUGAAAUCAUUUUUAAAAUUAUUUGUUUAUUUCAUUUUAAUAGGAAAAAUAAAUAAUUUUACUUUUAACUAUGUAUACCUUAGUGAUGGGAUCAAAUUCCCAACGCAAUCAGUUUGAAUAACAACAUAUGAUUGAAGACGAUCAUCGCUAAAAGCUCUAUAUUCCCCAACCCAAUCAGUUUGAGCUCAAAACCAAGCUGCAAUUCAACCUAGUUUUGCAAUGGAUUGCAUCAGAUUUGUUUCCAAGAAGAUAAAAAUAAAACGAAACUUGGAAUAAGCAUCAAUGAAGUGAAUGUGAAACUGAUAGCCAAUAGAGGAUUGUGUAUUUGACACUCCCCAAAAAUCUGACUGCAUUAAUUUGGAGCAGUUCCGUAUAUUGAGUUGCAGAUAAUGGAAAUGGGAAUUCAUGGAUUUUGCCCAGACAACAUGUUGAAUUGAAACUACUCAAUUCAACAGAAAAGAAGCUACCAUGAUGGAGGUUGAGGAGUACUCCAUUGUUGGCAGUGGAGGCUCUCAUACCGUCUGAAGAAGCUAAACCAAAAGAAAUUCCAGCAGAAAAGAAAUGCUUUUUCCCUCAUCUAAAUAAUUGAUUACAAAAUUCUAUACAUAGCUAAUUGUAGAACAAACUUUAAUUAUCUGGAACUGUGAUAACAAACUACUAAUUGGGUCAACCAACUCUCUUGGCAUGAUUUAUUUAGAGUCCAACACCAUGAUUUUUCAGGGACUAAAAGUGGAAAAUGGUCUUACAACAUCAUUGUUCGGAAACUCUGAAAUGAUGAAUCUGAAUGUUUUCGACAGUUUGCUUCUUGAAAUCACUCCUGUUUCUAGUUGCCAUGAACUUUCCCCAGUUGUACUCUUUAAAUUUAGGGGGGUUUUCCUCAUUGGUCAACUCCUCCAAUGGCUUCACAUUCACAUGAUGCACCGGUAAGAAAAAGAAUGGAAUCGAAAACCUUUCCUUCUCACUAUUCGCCACCACCAUGUGCUCCACGCUCUCAUAUUUAUCAUUGCUCCAAACCUGUAUAGUGUUGGAUAAAUAUUGAGAAAAAGUAACACCAAUUUCUCCAACAUGUUUUUCUUUUUUUUUAAAUAAUAAUAAUAAGAUACAAUAUAUAAGACCUAGCUAUUAUAAUACCUAUAAAAAAAACUCAAACCAAUCACAACAUGUCAUGUAUAUAAUUAAGUUUAUUUACUUCGUAUAUGAUUUCAUUUUUCUAGAUCUAGUCUCGAUACUUUUAUCCCUAUCCAAUGCUCUAGAUUUUAUCCUAUACUUUUGAGGAGGUUUUGAAUUGAUAACCUACAAUUUUCCAAUGUGUACAAAUGAAAUUGAAGUCAUUUGAUGGAUCAUACCUGAAUAAUAUCACCAACAUCAAUGAUAUAAGCAUUUGGAAUAGGCUUUACUCCAAUCCAUUCACCAUCAACUUUUCCCUUCACUUCCAACCCUGUGACACCAUCUUGAAAGAGAACGGUUAAAGCUUUGGCGUCCUUGUACCGACCCACAACGAGAGAGCUUCGGCCACGAGAACGGCGGAGAGUGAUAAUUGAGUCGGAUUAAGCUGGUUUGCCAUUGGAAUAACUCAUUCAACUAGUCCCCGGCCAAGCCUAAGCUUAAGAAGAUGAGUUCUAAGAACUUGUUGGCUAAUUUUUCUAUUUCUCCAACAUAUUCUUUCCAAAUUUUCAUGAAAAUAAGUCAUUAUAUAAAAUAUAUCAAUACUCAAAAUGAAUUUAAUAAAAUCUUGCCAUGCCUUUACGUCUCUAUUUGAGUUUGUUUGCCUUUGAGUUGUGCCUUUACGUCUCUACUUGAGUUUGAUCGACUUUGAGUCGCAUUUUUAUGCCUCUAGUUGAGUCUAUUUAGCUUCAAGUCGUGCCUUAACAGUUCGAGUUUAGUCUAUUCGGCUUCAAACCGCACUUUUACAUCUCUUUCAUCUUUGAGCCACGUAUUUAUGUCUCUAGUUGAUUUUGUUUGACUUUAAGCUGCACCUCAUGCCUUUAGUUGAGUCUGUUCAGCUUCUAGUCGUGCAUCUAUAUUUCAAGUUGAGUUUAUUUGGCUUCAAGUUGUGUCUUUACGUUUCAAGUUGAAUCUAUUUGGCUUCAAGUUGAAUCUAUUUGGUUUCAAGUCGCACCUUUACAUCUCUAGUUGAGUCAGUUCAACUUUGACCCACGUCUUUACAUUUCUUGUUGAGUUUGUUCAACUUCAAGUCAUGCUUUUAUGUCUCUAGUUGAGUUUGUUUAGUUUCAAGCCACAGCUCUACAUCUCUAGCUGAGUCUAUUCUGCUUCAAAACAUGCCUUACAUUUCAAGUUGAGUCUAUUCGGCUUCAAGUUGCGCUUUUGCAUCUCUAAUUGAGUCUAUUCGACAUUGAGCUACGCCUUUACUUUUCAAGUUAAGUCUAUUUAGCUUCGAGCAACGCCUUUAUAUUUGGAGUUGAGUCUGUUAGGUUUCAAGCUACGCUUUUACAUCUCUAGUUGAGUCUAUUCGACUUUGAGUCAUGCCUUUAUGUUUUGAGUUGAGUUUAUUCAACUUUGAGUUACAUUUUUGCGUCUCUAGUUUAGCAUGUUCAACUUGAAGCAAUGUCUUAACGUUUCAAGUUGAGUUUGUUCGGCUUUGAGUUGCGCCUUUACGUCUCUAGUUGAGUUCGGCUUCGAGUUGUGCCUUUUUGUUUCGAGUUGAGUUUGUCUUAACUUUGAGUCACACCUUUACGUCUCUAAUUGAGUUUGAUUGGCUUCAAGCUGCGUCUUUAUGUUUCAAGUUGAGUUUGUUCGGCUUCAAGUCGUAGCUUCAAGUCAUGCCUUUAUGUCUCUAUUUGAGUAUGUCUGGCUUCAAGCCACGUCUUUAUGUUUUGAGUUGAGUUUGUUAGGCUUUGAGUUGCACCUUUACGUUUCGGGUUGAGUUUGUUCAGCUUUGAGUCACAUUUUUAUAUAUCUAGUUGAGUUUAUUCGACUUCGAGCCACACCUUUGAGUUUCAAGUUGAGUCUAUUCGGCUUCAAACCACACUUUUACGUAUCUUGUUAAGUCCUAUUCAGCUUCGUGCUAUGCCUUUACAUUUCUUGUUGAGUUUGUUCAGCUUUGAGUAUCGUCUUUAUCCUUAUUAAGUUCAUUCGGCUUUAGUCGUGCCUUCACCCUUAUCCUUAGUUUUGAGCCUAUUUGACUUCAAGCCAUGCGUUUGUCCUUGUUAAGUUUAUUCGGCUUCAAGUCGCCUCCUAGUUUUAAGUUUGUUUGGCCUCAAGCCGCACAUUCCCCUCUAUUUGAGUUCAUUUAGAAUUUUCCCCUUCCUCGAGUUUAUUAUGACAUUCUCUUCCUUCAAUAUCAUUUUUUGUGAGUUAAUCACUUCUUAUCUUGGUUGUCCUUGAGUUGUAUGUUGUGUCACGAUCUAGUGUUGUUCAUUGCAUAUACACUCCCCACAUUAUUUGUAUCUUUAUCUUAAGUUUCUUCCUUAGUAUGUGAUCCUGAUCUUUGAGCUUAGCAUGCCAUGUGUUAUGAAAAAAUUAUGAGUUCUCUUUUGUUCUUCAAUGCAAUUCACUUCAUACCAUUCAUCACUCAUGUUUCACUCUUCGUGUUCAGUUCACUCAUGAACUAUAUCAAAUAAGGGCAUAUUUAUAGACCCUCCAUUUUGUCUCAUAGCACGUAUGUUUGCAUUUUUUAUUUUCCUCUCGCCCCAUGCCCAUUUUAAUUUGGUGUCCGUUUGGAUACUUCUUGCUUAAUCAUUCAUCAUCCCUUAUUAGUUCACAUUUACUUGGCUCAUUAAUCAUUUUUUAGCCACAUUUUGGAGGCCAUUUAGGGCGAUUUUGGGUCUAAGCUUUUUUUUUUUAGAGGCUCUCAGUAGAUGGCUCAUAAUGAGGACACGUGUUUUUAAAGGGGUCUUCUAGAGGCUUCUAGGGUCAGUUGGGAGAGCACGUUCUUAUUUAUAUAUCUAUUGUUUUGGAGGUGAGUUGUACACCAAGAGAAUGAGGGAGUAGAUGGAGGUUUUUUAAACAUUGUAAGAGGAGAUUCGUUUUGAUUGGCAUUUAUACCAAUAAAAUCUUGGGAUUACUGAGAACUCAACGGGACCUUCCCUCUCAAAUCAUACAAACUUGGCCAAAGAGGGGUGGGUACCAUUGAGUUCUUAGGCUUUCAUGUCGAUAACUCAAUUCAUCUUAUUACUAAAGGGAUGAACCCAAUCCGGAAUAUGAACCAAAAAAGAAAAUGUCUAUUAAAUUGAUGACAGGAAUACCAGUUACAGUAGCUAUUAGCCAAAAGGAAUCCUUCCAAGUUGGAGGUGGUUAGAGAGAGAGAAGGCUGGGCGAGAGAGAGAGACACGUAAAGAGAAUAUUCUCUCUGGUGAGGGUUUGUUAGACGGGAAGCAAGAAGCUUGAGGGUAGAGAGGACAAUCAGAGGAGGAGUUUGGAGGAAGAGGGGAAGGGAGCUCGAAGGCAAGCAGAUCAGUGCUUGAGGGGACGUUUUUCCAAGUAUGAUUAUUGGGUCUCUCAUUUUCCGCUGUUCUCCUUUCCUUCCCGGUUGAUCUCUGGAUUUUAGUUGAUGCUUUGAUAUGGAUUCCAGAUGCCACACUUCAUCUUGUUGAGCAUUGGUUAGCUAUGGACUUGUUACUGCUACUCUUCUGUUUCUUUUGAGUUAACUUUGGAAAUGAAUCUGAAUAUAGACUGGUAUUUGCUGCUUGAUGUUUCGGGAAUCAUAUUUUAGUUGUUUAAAAUUCAUUCUGGCAUGUUCGGUUCCUUCAAGCUCAUUGAUGAAAUAAUGAAAUGGAGCUCUAUAUAUUUGUUAAUGGGUUGGUUCUCUGUUUGGUUAUCUUUUAAGUUCUUCCUCUUCUCUUUUCUCGUUGCCUUCUCUUCUCUAGGGGGGUGUCGUUUGAGCAUAUGCAUACUAGGAGAAAUGGGGAGCUGGAGGCUUAUCCUGGCAUCAACCUCGCGUUGGGGACGGCUUGAUCGAAGAACAUAUGAAUUUUUCAGAUACCUAGAACUUACAUCAAAAGAAGCCUCGGAGUCUAGGUCAAACACAAACACAUCCUUUGCCUUGGUGAUUUUAUUGACUUCUGCAUGAUGGGCACCCGAGGGUGGGGACUGGAAGAGAAAUGAUGAAUCUGCCUAAUAUAGUUUGUCUAGAAAGGAGCUUGUAUUAAAUGAUGGUUACCCACUGUGUCAGAUGCUGAAAUCUGGGUAUGAGGACUCCCGGUGGCAUCGGAAAGAUGAGUCGCACCAUUCUUCCCACAGUAGAAAGCUUGACCUCCGAAUUUGGGCUUUUUCAUGGCCAGACGAGAGGAGUGAUCGCAAUAGUGCGAGCAGAGCCAGUCAAAUUAAGCCUGUUAUCAGAGGAGUGAACCUACUGCCUUGUUCUAUCUCCGAUGGUCUGCUCAGCUCCUUCAACCUCCACCGCUCUCCUCUUUCCAAGUUCUCCAUUUUCAGUCUAGAGCCAACAAGAGUCGCAGAAAUCCUCAAAGAUUGACCUACAUGGUAUCGUGAGUACCUCGAUGUGGAUGUUCUUAAUGAGUUGUCAACUGGAGCCAAAUGGGUGUUUGAUAAGACCCAGUGAAGAUGUAAAAAUUAUAUAAUGAAGCUUGCAGAAAGACUCAAGGGUUGAUGGAAGGCAUCUCAACGAAGUUUGGCUUUUGUAUUGUGAAUCUGGCAAAUUACCUAUACUGCAUGGAUCAUCACUCUUUUCACGUGGAGGUACACAUGUCCUUUGUACUGUACACUUGGGGCAUCACAACCUGGUGAUGAUCAACGACUGGAUCCUCUGGUUGGUCCUCCAACAAAGCGCUUCAUGCUUCACUGAAAUUUCCCGGAGUUCUCGAUUAACGAAGUUGGCCAGCUUCUUAACCUGCACUGUUCCACAGAAGUCGCAUAAAGAUUUGACAUUGAAAUUGAUGUGGUUUUUCCUUUGCCAAUGGUGGUGGGCGCGCUUUGUAUGUAGAUUCCGAAGGAACUUCCAACUUGAUGGCUGUGAGUGGUAAUUAGGUUGGAGAAGAAACUACUGGGUCUGCCCCAUUAGUUUUCCAUUGUUAAGGUAGUUUGGUGCACAGCUUUCUGGAUCAUCUACACCACCAGCACCUCCAGCCGCCUGUUUUGAUCAGUUUCUGGAUUUCCAUCUCCAAAUUGUGCAAGCAGCGACUGAUUUGGUGUCCAUACAAGCGGCUACUGAAAUGGUUCAAACCUCAAAUGCUGAAGGGAAAGGAGCUUUUGGAAAAUAUCAUGAAGAAGACUCACCCAUCUUACAUGAAAUUAUACACAACUCCAUGGACCAGAACCGGAACUCAGACUUAAAUUUGUCCAAGAGAAGAUCAGUGUUAUACAAGUCAAUUGCAGUCAUUCCUGAAAGAAGUGAUCAGAAGAGUAAACCUGGAAAAGCAGCGAGUGAAACAAGGUCUGUGACAUUGAACAAUUUGCAGAUGGGUGUUCCCACAAGCUCCUUUCCCCUCUUCCCACGUGCAUGAAAUUCCUACAUGCAUGGCCACCUUCUUAGGUGUGCAAUUCGGUGCAUAUGCUCAAGCGUACUACCCCCCUCUUCUUUUAAAAAAAAAAUGAUUUUAAAUUUAAAUUUUUGACAAAUUCAUUUCCCUUUUAAAAUCCCUCCUCAGUAAUUCUCUUCAAAUUAAUAAAAUCUAUUUUCAAUAAAUUUCUGCUGUCAUCUUCCUUUUGGCGUGGACCAUUUUUCUAUUUUCUUUGAUUUUUAAUAAUUUUCUGAUUUUUUUUAAUAAAUAUGAAUAAAUUCUAUGUUUUUUAAAAUAAUGGAAUUUUCUCCAAAUUUCUAUUAUCUUUUUCUCCGAGAUCAUUAGGAAGAUGAAAUUCCUAAAAUUAAUUCAUGCAAAUAAAUUGGACGUUGGUGGGUCCAACAUAUGAAUUUUUCUCUUUUGAUUAUUAAUUUUAAUUGCUACGCUUGAUUGAUUAAUGAUUGAUCUCUACCUUGCUCUAACAUACAUAAGAUUUAUUGUGUUUGUGAUUGUACACUAACCAUGUUUCCCACGAAACGCUCAACUUAUUGCUAUUGUACGUUCCUUCCUUCUCCUAUUUGUUUAAGUAUAGCUCAACCAUAAUACAUCACUGAUAAUUACUUGGUAUCUAUUGAUUUUUUGAUCAAUUGUCAUAUACCUUAACGUAAUUAUCAGAGACCUGAUUUUAGGGUAUAGAGGGGUUUUACAACUUAUUAUCGUACCUUUUCAAUAAGUAACCUGACCCUCGAACCCAAACUCGGUUUUUUAUAAACCUGUACUUUCCUUUCAAGUUUCAUAUUUAGAGUUUUAUUUUUUAUUUUGUUUUCUAUUUAAAAAUAAAAUAAAAAUAAGUGUCAAAUUUAAAACCAUAUUUUCUAAAAAUCAAUUGUUCAUCAAUUUAAACUGAGUCUUGUCUUCUUUUUUUUUUUUCAAGUGAGGACAUGAUCUCAGGUCCACAAUACUAUUUUAAUAUAUAUCAUGAAAUAUAGAUAUUAACGUCAUCUUAAAGAUAUAAUUAAAUUUUUUGUUUAAAAUAAAUUAUAAUAAUUUAAAAAUAAUAUUUUAUUUAAAAUAAAUUUUAGAAUAAGCAAAGUUAAUAAGUGGACAUAGAGAAUUAUGAACCAUUGUAAAUGUAUUGAUUAUAUCUCUUUCUUCCCAUUUCAUUUUUACUCUAGUUUUUAUUAUUCGCAUCUUUUUCUACUAAAAUUUGAAAAAGAAAUUCACAUUCAAUUCAUUCGCUUCUUCUUGGGUGUAUGUCAUAGGAUUCAAAUUGUUUUUAAAAAAUAUUAAAUUUGUUAAUUGUGGCUAUAUGCUUAUUUAGGAUCCAUUCAUCUUAAUAACUCUCUUCCCGAUAUAGGAAGAAAAUGGCUAUUCCAUUAAUCCAGCAUGCAUUGCUGAUUAUUUAUCAAGCAAAUUACAUUAUUAUUUUCACACCAAACCUCCAAAUUCUCCAUGCAUAUACGCAUCCUAUACUGCAUGGCCAACUUCAGAGAGCUAAAACAAGCUCUUAUUGAAUUCAUGAUAGAUGAUGUCCCACUGACCCUUUUACUCUGAUACCUUGAAAUGAGAAAUUUGGAGGUUUUCCACAUCAAGCUUUUUGAAACUACUGCGCCUUCUCGUAACAAAGAACUUUCCCUAGUUGUAUGCUCUAUACUUUGGCUUUUCCCCCUUCGUCAGCUCCUCCAAGGGCUUCACCCAAACAUGGUGCCCGGGACUGAAAAAGAACGGAAUUGAGAACCUUUCCCCCUCUGAAUUCACCAUCACCCUGUGCUCCACACUUUCAAAAGUAUCGUUGCUCCAGACCUGGUUUAAUAUCAGUAUAAUUAGCCAAAUGGGUGUAAAAUUCCUUGAGCCAAACAGUACUGAUAAGCAUGUACUUAUAAUUUAAAGUUCUUGUGUGGGACCUGAACUAUAUCCCCAACGUUGAUGAUAUAAGUAUCUGGGGUGGGCUUCACUCGAACCCAUUCUCCAUUGGUUUUUAGCUUUACUUGCAGCCCUCCAACAUCAUCCUGGGCAAGGAUGGUUAAGGCUACGCCAUCCUUGUGGCGUCCAGCGCCCAGAGCUAGGUGAGGGAUGGGGCAAGGUGGGUAGUGAUUGAAGCGGAUGAAGUUUGUUGAUUCUUCAAAGAGAAGAUUGAAUCUGUUCUCUGGAAAACCUAAGCUCAGAGAGAUGAGUCCCAACAGCUUGAAAGCUAG